AGAAUCCAACUCUUAAAAGAGGCAAAGUUGGGCCGUUCCCACUUUAGAGAUAGUAAGCAAAAGGCGCCGCAGCCCGCCGGCCUAGCAGAACUCAAAGACAAGCCCGUGAGGCAUCUCGUCAACCGCAGAAGCCUAAAGCCACCGAUCGCCGCUCCCGUCACGAACAAUGCGCCUCGUGUCGUUUUUUAUUUAGGACAGGAAAAGGAACUCCAGAGAGUUGAAUAAGAAAUUGGUUGAACUAUAAAAAUGGUCAGGAUGAGCCUUUCAAGAGUUUAGUGAGAGAUUUGUUAAUCCAUCACACAAUAUGUUUCGAAGGAAACCAUAAUCCAGUGAUCCAAUCCUCAAAUCCAAAAUUAAACACAUAGAUACAUCCACCAGAUUCAAUAAUUAGAUCAAGUCCCAAAGGAGGCACAAGAGUAAACUAAAAUGAAAGUCAAAGACGUACUGCCCUUCGAAAUAGGAGAGCAAGGUGUGGCUUCCCAACCAUGAAAGAAACAAAGUAACUCAAGCAACACCAUGUCAAUUUCACUAACUAAGCUACCUUUGGCAAGUUAGAAAGAUGUGACCUAACAUCUUGAGAUACUGUAAUUGAAGAUAAUUUUGAAAGAGUUGCACAUAUCAAAGAGACUAACAAAAAGUUGUUGCACAGAGUACAGACAUGCAUGUGAAGCAACUCAGGAACAACGCCCAUCUCAAUUUGAAGUUGCCAAGAGAACUUAGGAGAAAGAAUAAUAGCAAGCCAAACUAGAAAGUGACAGAAGAUCAUGACAUACUAUAAACGGAGAUGAUUCUCAAAAGUGGCAUAUAUCAAGGAACUAAGUAAAAGCUGUCCCAUAGAGAUGUGUGUGAAUUGACUACGGUCACAAGCCAGAGCACAUGGAACAACAAGAGGUUUCUGAAGAGAUAGCACAUGCACCUUGUAUUCAAGAAUUGAAUCCCAGGCCACGAUAGCACUGUCAUCAGGCGACCACUCAACACCUGCUAAGUCUAACGUGUCAACAGCAAAGACACUCAUAAUCCCCCAGGAAUGACAUGAGAGCAAAUUUAUGAAAUCCUUGCAGUCGCGUCUGGUGCAAAUCGCAGCAAAUUUCCCAUCCUUAGUAAAAGAAACCCCUCUGGACACAUGCUUUGGCCACUGGACAUGAACACAUUCGGUAUUUACAAGAGACCACACAGUCAAACGGAGUUGAAACUCUGAUGUAGUAAGUAUAUGACGACUGUCAGGGCUCCAGCGAGCAUAAGCAAUCCCUGCAGAUCCUUCAUCGAUCUUGCAGGUCCAGUCAGGCUGGCUCAGCGACCAAGCCUGCACCAUGGGCCGCUUGUAAAGUCCACAUAGGAUAUACUCUGAAUCCGGUGCCCACUCCACAAAGUUUAUUUUGUCCACGCAUGAAAAUAAUUGCACCACCUGCAUAGGAAAGAAAGUAAUUUUGAUGGACAGUUUUCUACAACGACAUGAGAUUAUGCACAGCUUAAAAUAACUCAAACAUUAGGAGGGGGUGGGGUGGGGGUGGAUGCAAGGCAUUACAUGCUACCAAAAGUUGAGACAACAAUAUAUAAUAUAAAUAUGCUAACCUCCACGAAUCCAAAAGAUAGCCAAGAGUAAUUCAGAGGUUACACAGUUUUAGUAAAACCAAUAAUGAGAGGGACAAUAAAAUAGAGACAAAUACUAACCUAAAAUACAACAGCUAGAAUUAAUAGGUGCAAACUUGAUGCACCAUCUAAACCUCCACAUAAAAAGCAAAACCAUGUAUUAUCCGCUCCAUACCACUUGCUACGAAGAUUUCUCCAGUCCAACUCUGGAUCGAAUCACAUUACUUAGUUACAGUCAGUAUUCAGAUCUACAUAUUUGUUAGCACGUCUUUCAGAGUAACAGAGUGUAAACGAGGGUUUAGACACAUGUCAGAGUGUUAUUUUCAUAUUGUAUGACAGGCUGGUCUGUUCUCAGGGAAGGCCUAUUCCGAUUGGGGCUGUACUAGUGAUGCUGUUGCUGUUUAUGGUAAGAUAAUCAGGUAAUCACUGGACAUCCUGAAAUAUUCAGUGGUCAUUUGCCGAAGGUAUUGAUGAAAUGAUUUGUUCGUACUUUACCAAGGAGUUUCAGUGAGCCUGCUAGGACAAUGUAAAACGUGAACAUGUGGAGUUCAAUGAGCUUGCUAGGACAAUAAAAAAGUGAACAUAAGGAGUUUCAAUGAGCUUGCUACGACAACGUAAAUCGUGAACAUUUGCAAUGGUAUUGGUAACUCUAAUGGUACAAUUUGCAACAGCACACGGUACACAUGUGUCAUAGAUUCGACAUUGCUAGACCAAAAUACACAAUUCUAGCAAAACAGAUAAGGGGGGCAAAUCUGGGAGGCUACGGAUCAGGCAAAAGUAGGCGUGUUUCCUUCCACCGGGGCGCUCAAAUCUGAGCCUCGCCAGAUCGCACUAGCCCCAACCCAGAUUCGCUAGCGACUACUCCAACAGCAUGGACCCUAAACCCGCAAUCGAACGACAGGGGGGAUACGAAACGGGUAGGAGAAGUCGCGGCGCGGCGGCGGUACCUUGAGGGAUACGACGUCGCGGACCACGAGGCGGUAGUCGACGGCGGAGGCGAGGAAGCGCGCGUCGGGGGAGAAGCAGCACGGGCCCGUCUGCUUGUACGACUCCGUGAAGUCCAUUCCCCUUCCGUGCACACCCCACGGCCUGUUCGUCCGGUGCUUCCCCCGGCUCGUUGCGGGAAAAGAGGGGAGAGGAGCGGGGAGAAGGCCUCUCACCUGCCGGCGUCUCGCUCCGGUGAGGUGGAGGUGGGGCUGGUUUGAAAUGGCCUUUAGAGGGGUUCGUGUUUGGUAUUUGAAUUCGUUUGGAGGGUGGAGACGUAAAGUUGAAAGUGUGCGUAAGCAGUAGAACCUAGGUGCCACACGGACAGGUGGCCCCAAUCUUCAAAUACAGUAGCUAUAUUAUGCUAUCAAUAAUCGUACUGUAAUUAGUUUUUGCCGAAAUAUAGCAAUAGUAUUAGAAUGUGGUCGAUUCUCAUCGCCAACUUCAGCCAAGGAAGCUCAGAUGAUAUAACAACACUUCCACUGUAGUGAUGCCGCAUCUAUGACUACUCCCUCUGUCCGCGAAAGAGCGUGUGUUUGGCUCCAUCGUUUGUCCGGAAAAGACCGUACGUUUGGAUGUCAGUUUUGCGUUUAGCCCCCCGUCAUGAUUUCAGCCCAGCCAAGACCAUCCAAUCCGUCCCCAAACUCUUCUUCUCUCCACCGCAUCCUCUCUCCCCCGAUCCAAAUCCUCUCCACCGAAUACUCACGCAUCCAAUCCGGUUGAUCCAACUUGCAGUCCGUCGAUCCGGCCCUCCCAUCCAACGAUGUGGCUCUCAUCCCCACCCAUGGCAGCCACUGCGGGGAACCCCAUGCUCCCGGCUUCUCCUCCCCAGCGUCUCCGGCGACGCCCGCAGCAGCUCCUCCAGGCUAUACCCCGCCGCCGCAGAACACUAGCUUCCCCCAUCCCACCCUCCCGCUCCCAUGAGAACUCCCUGUCCGCCGUUGAUGGUGGUGGUGCUGCUGCUAUUGGUGGCGGCAAUGGCCACGUGUUGCUUGCUCCCGAGCCCUUGCUGUGGUCCUCGUCACCGGCCACGCGCUGCCUGCUCCUGCGCCCCCGCCGCGACACCAUUAUUACCGCCACUGCUAACACACGAGAAACACCACUCCAGCCACUGUGGAGCUUGCAACAAUGGCUGCCUUCUUUCGCGCACCUGCGGCAGCUGCUGCUGCUGGAGGAGGAGCCGGGCGGAGGGAGCGGCGAGGAGGCUGCCCUGGCAGGGGAUAGCGGCACGGCAGCGUCGUUGUAGGGCGUGGGGAACGAGGGCAUGGGAGUAAUGGAGGGGAGAAAGGAAGGAGAGUGUUUUUUUGCAAAGUGCUUAAUUUUCUUAGGAAAGCCCAAACGUCCACUCUUUUAGGAAGGAGUAGUGGUCUAGUAAUUUGUCGGAACCCAUUUGUAGAAACCAAACGCAUUCAGUAAGUAUAUGCUAAGAAUGACUGCAUGGGUCUUACCAUUUUUGGACAUUUUGCCUUAUUGAUAGAUCUCGCUGUAACUCUCAUGACACUCCUUGGUGCAUGCGACUAUCCCAUGAUGUUUCACUCCCGAACUACGGCGGGCAACAGCCAGCCUGCACAACUUUAUUAAAAAGCAAGUAACCUUACAAGCGGAUAUACAAAGGGGGGGGGAGUAAUUACAAGUUUCUAGCCAGGUGGGCCAACAUAAUUGCCCAGUCGUUUAGAAGGGACUUCUUAGACGGCGAGUUACAGCGAGAGGACCAGAGAGAGAUAUCAGAGGAACUUCGUUCUAUAAGGAGGAAGGUAUCUUCCAGUGUAUUUAUGAACACCAUGGCAUUCCGUCUUUUCCAUAUGUUCCAAAGCACAGCAAUAAGCACCGAAGAAUGAACUUUGUCGCACGGGCGAAGAGCCAAAAGAUCGGUCAGACUGAGGCAGGCGGUGGCAUUAGGGUGAAGAGACUGAAGCACGUCCCAAAUCGGGCGGAGCGAGGCGCACCGCAGGGACAUGUGCAGGGACGUCUCCGGUAGGUCACAAAAAGGGCAUUUGGCAGAAUCAGUUAGCCCCCGGUGGAAGCGUCGAUCGUUGGUGAAAAGCCUGUUUUUGUUGGCCAGCCACAUGAAGACUCUGCAUCUGCUCAUCGCGAAAUUGUCCCAGACCACAGCAGCAACCGGAUCAUCCGAAUGAGAGGAGAAGGAGGCCAAGUAAGCAGACUUCGUGGUAAUGGACUUGCCAUCGAACCGCCCCACGUGCACAUCUGGAACCGGUAAAUUCAAGACCACAGUAGACAACAAAAUUUGCAAGUUGCCAAAUUCAAGAAGCGCCGAAUGGGAGAGCCUAGGGUGAAAGGUGGUAAGACUAUCGAAUGAAAGAAGGGCCGCACCAACAGAAAUAUUCGGCCUCAAGGAGUGUGAGAACAAUGCUGGGAAAUGGGUGGCGAGAGUCUCAUCUCCCGCCCAAAGGUCGAACCAAAAAGAAGUUGCCCGACCAUCGCCAAUUGAAACCUUAGAAAUGGAGCGAAAGAAAUCAAGGCCGGAAGAUAUGUCUUUCCAAACCGGGGUGUCAAGGUGGUGAGCAUCGCCAAGAUCCCGCAGAGGGGACCAACCAUAAGCGGAGGCGAAGCGUUGUUCCCAAGGAGGCUGACCCGGUUAGUGCACUUUGGCAAGGUGUUUCAGUAACAAGCAAAGAUUGUAAGUGCGAAGACAGCGGAAGCCUAACCCACCUUUAGAAGCGGGGGCACAGACAAUGUCCCAAGCCACUUUACAGUUUCCUCCAUUAGCAUGGUCCUCUCCUGUCCAGAAGAAAGCCCGACAGCGUUUGUCAAUCUCGUGAAUCGGGCCCGCAGGAAGGAGAAUUGCGCUCAUGGCAUAGGUUGGCAUUACCCGAAGAGCCGCCUUAACAAGAACAGCUCGACCACCAAUAGAGAGCAAGUUCCCACGCCAUCCGGCAAGACGGUGAUCAAUUUUGUCGAUAAUAGGGCGGAAGGCAGAGAGCCUAAGCUUAUGAGCGGAAAGGGGAAGCCCAGAUAAGACUGUGGAAAGGGAGAGAUUUGGCAACCCAAGAAGGCAGCCAUGGAGGCAGCUUCCUCAGGGUCGACAUGAAUAGGGGCGAAGGUGCUUUUGUGGAAGUUGAUUUGGAGCCCAGUGGCAUGAGAGAAUUGAAGCAACACCUCCUUCAGAUAGGAAAUCCGAGAGAAAUCUGCUCGCAAAAUAAUAAGCGUAUCGUCGGCAUAUUGAAGGACCGGGCAGGGCAGAAAAUCAUCAAUCGGAUGAGAGAUAAAGCCUAGGGAGGACGCCCUAAGCAAAAGACGUUGAAGGACAUCCGCGACCAGAAUGAAUAAGAACGGCGAGAGAGGGUCGCCCUGACGAAGACCACGGCGGCACUGAAUCCAGGGACCGGGAACACCAUUUAGAAGGACGGCAGAUUGACUAGAGGAAUUGAGAUCGGCCAGCCAGUCGCACCAUUUGAGACAACAAUUCUGCAAGGAAACGGGUCGAAAGUGAUCGGGGGAGGAGGCGCCUUGCUUUUUGGGAAGGAGGACAAUGUAAGCUUUGUUAAUCCGCUUCAGAUCGGCAGAGUGGGAAAAGAAACUAGACAUGAGGUGGCCUAGGUCGUGCUUAGUGAGAUUCCAGAAUUUUUUGAAGAAAGCCGGUCCAAAACCAUCAGGGCCGGAACUGGAGUUGUCAUUCAUUGAAAGGAAGCUUUCCUUGAUUUCAUCUGCCGAAAAGGGCGCAAUCAGAGAUUGGGCCUGCACUGAAGUUAGGCUUGAAGUAGCCAGCAGCUCCGAGAGAUCAAACUCAAUAGAAGAGGAGCCAGGGAUCCCAAUGAUGGAGGUGAAAUAAUCGGUGAGGAUUUUCUGCUUAGCGGAGUGGGCAAAGAUCAGAGUCUCAUUAACCUCAAGAACCCGGAUUUGAUUUUUUUUUGAAGACGAAUCGAAGCGCAGGUGUGGAAAUAUUUUGAAUUUUCAUCGCCCAAGACACAGUCUUUAAGUUUAGCGCGUUGUCUCCAAAAAGCAGCGAGCAAUGCAUUAUGACGAUGAAGGGAUUGCUUCACUGCGAUCCGAAGUGAGAACUCCCCGAGAGAAAGGACUCUGGAUUCCUCGAUUUUGUCGAGGAAGGAAAUGACCGUGUGACAAUUCUUCGCGAGCGUAGUGGGGGACCUCGUAUGACGACACCAUUUUUUGGUUUCCUCCCUACCCUCUUUAAGCGAUGACAGAGCAGCCCAAGCUGUCCGCGAGAGGCAUGAGAAGGCCCAAAACUAUUCCAAACGCGAUUGGUAAGCUGGCAAUAAGAAUCAAGAAGGAGAAGAUGUCCAGCAGAAACACAGAAGGCACGGGAACAUCGGAGGAAACAGAGAGGACGAUCAGGACAUGGUCGGAGGUAGAACGAGGGAGAAAGGAAAGGGUAGAGUUCGGAAAACGCGAACUGAACGGCAAGUUGAUAAACGCACGAUCUAGCCGAACGAGAAUAGGGGAAGAUUGUUGAUUGGACCAGGUAAAAGAGCGCUCGAGUAGAGGAAUCUCAAGAAGCUGGAGGGAGGAGAUAGUUGUCGCAAACCGAGAGGCCUCCGCAUUAUUGAAAUUAGAGUUUGAGCGAUCGGCGGGCCACAAGGUCUGGUUGAAAUAUCGAAACCCAAGGCCCACUAACGGCUUGGCCCAGGCAGUCAAGUUCAGCAUGAAAGGCCGGUUUUGCAGCGGAAUCACACGGGCCAUAAAUAUUGGAUAGGCAGAAAGCGACGUCCGAGAUUCGGGAAGAGAAGGAGCAGGUAAGAGAGAAAUCUUUUUGGGCCAAAACAGAGCAAUCCCAGUCUCCAUUGUUCCAAGCGACAAGAAGCCCACCAGAGGCCCCGUCCGAUGGAGAAAAAAUAAAGGAGAGACAGUAAGGGGGAGGAAGGAAGCCGCCUUAAAAACAGAGAUGUCAACUAGCUUAGUUUCUUGCAUGCAUAUAAUGGAUGGAGAAGCAGCGAGGAGAGCAAGUUUAAUAUCCGUGCAUUUAGGAGACCGACCCACACUGCGAAUAUUCCAAGAGACAAUCGGAAAAGAUCUAACCAUUAAACUGACCACAACACCGAGAGAAGUACAGGGGGGACAAAGGAGAAAAAAAGAGGAAAGAAAAAAGAUACAAGGUGAAGAUCACCAACUCAAUAAACUGAAAAGGAACUAGGAACGCGAGAGGAUACAUUGAGCGUAAAAGGUGCAACAUCUAAGGAACGUCGGUCACACCCUGAAGCUCGACAAGAUCAACCCCACAAGCGGCAGCCAACUGGAUGAUAUCGCGGCAAGAAAGAGAGACACAACCCUCGUCAGCAAUCUCCAAGAGCUCCACAGCAGGAAGCUCGCCUUUGGCAUAGCGAGCGCCCUUAGCGCCUCCCUCCAUCUUCUGUUUCUUGCGAGUAGAGGCUUUGUCCAGGAUCGAGGUGAAGGUCGGAGACUCGAUGGACGCGAGCCUGGCACUGCGUCGUGGAGCAGGCGGCGAGGAAGCCAGAAGCGAUGCAGAGUCGUGGAGCAGCAGCCGAUUUGCAUCGGCCAGGGAGAGGGGAGGUUCAGAGCAAGCCCCCAAGGUCUCAGUGUCACGACAGAGAACUUCGAUGGUGUGCAUGGGGUUCUUGAAAGGACCGACAGUAGAAAUUUUGCAAGGCGGUGGCAAGGUUAGCAACAAGGAGGCCAUCGGAUCCGGCGAUCUGCAUGGGAAGACGAUAGAAACCGAUCUCACCGUUGGAGCCAGUGACAUGAACGUCAAAGAACCCAGGAAAAAGCUUAAUGGAGACAUUUUUAGGUUUAGCAUCAAGAGGAACUGCACGCACGAAAGGAGAAGGAGUAGCCAUGACAGGAGGAGGCAAAGGGGGUGCCAAGUUAGCAUCCAUGAAAGCAGGUAAGUCUCCUUCGCCACUAUUGUCAUUGUCAAAACUGCCACCGCCACCGGAACCGCCGGAACCAUCGGGAGAGGGAGGGGGAAAGGGAUUAUUUUCGUGGACAGGGGGAGAUCUUGUGAGUGGACGAUGUGAACUUCGGCAAUGGUCCCCUCCCCCGAGCAACCGUGCACAGGUAAGGUCCUAGGAGUAGCAGAAAGUGACCUAGACUUGACACUGACUAGAACCUGUGAAUAGUUGACGCCGGAGAUGCAGAUGGGGUCAAUUUCCCAAGGAUUAGCAAAAGGAGCAGUGGAGUUGUGAAUGUGCUCAGGGAACCAGUGUUCUAAAGGGUAAUCUAUGAGAGAGAGAGCAGCCAGGUUCCUGUUAUCAAAAAGGAAACGAUUUUCAGUGUCGUUGUGUCGGUUGAGAUAGACAGUGUGCUCUCUACCGACAUUGGGGGAGUUGUGAACGGCAUAUUCACGCUCAUAGCGGGACCCGAAACAAACAAGAGCAGCACCUUGAGUGGAUGGACGGAGGGAGGCAGUGGGGUGGAACUGGCGGGACCGAAGAGCGCGACGGAUGAAGAAAGCAGGGCUAGAAGCAAGCGGAUGGACAUACGCAUAGGCAAGGUUAUUGAAGUGUUCGAGGAGGACGUGCGGCAUGAAGACAUCAAGACAGUCAGGGCGACCAUCUGGAGAUGGAGGAGGCGCAGAGUCGCCAAAAGAUGUGUCGUCGUCACCGGAGCAGAACUCCUCAUAAGAGUCCGAGGAGGCGGCAGGUCUUGUUUCACUUCCAUAGAGCAUUAUUGGUUUUGUUUGAUCUCAUAACGUAAUGUGCAUAGGGUCAGGUCUUUUUUACCACGUGUAUAGUUCCUUUUUUUUUGGAGCAAAAGAUUGUUACCAAGUAUGAAGGUGCUCCAUGCACACGAGAAAGAAAGAAACUUUAAUGCAUCAAAGUGAUUUUGAGGAUAAAAAAAUAUGUAGCCUGUUUGCUCGCUUCGAAUACCUUUUGAUCAUUGCUUUCAUAUUGCAAGGGCUUUAAAUUAUUUCAAUAUUUAGAAUUUUAUUUUGAAAAUUAUUUUUCCAAUAGCCGUACGCACGCUGAAAAAAAAGGAGAGAGAAGUGGACUUUGGGAGGUGAGUCCGGCAAAGGGUGAUCGACUGAUGGGUUAUCACACAUUCACACGGCCCGUCCGAAUUCUUCCAAAAGCUAAUACUCCGUAGAUUCUUCGGGUCGGCCCACCAGGCACCACCGCACCAGCACCUCCCGCGAUUAAGCCCAGCUCGUCGACGGCCAGCCACCGUUGCUGACGACGACGGACACAGUUCCGAGCCUCCGAGGUAGUGGUCCGCGACCAAACCGCUCCCCAUCCUGCCGCCGGCGGCCGACCCGGAUGGCGAGCCCGAGGGAGCGAAGGCUCCCGCCCUCACCGGCGUUCCGGAUGGAGAACCCCUUCAGCCUGAAGGUUCUCCAGGUCUUCACUGGCGCCGGCGUCGGCUGCGGCGUUGGAGUCGGCGUCGGCCGCCCCAUCUACCUAGGUAACGAUAACCUUACGCAUGCGCUGCCGUUCCGUUCGCUUUUAGGAUUGUCGUGGAUGGAAAUCGAUCGACUCGGUCAUGAGUCGGCGGGUUCGGCAAUUCGUCAAACAGCUGAGGUGGGUGAUGAAUUGGGGGUGCAUUCCGUGGAACAGUUUGCCCUAUGUGUUUGUACCUGCAGAGGGUUGUAUUUUAACUGAAAUGGGGGUAAUCUAGGAGCCUAAUUAAGUCGAGAAUUGGGUGUCUGGGAAUGAAUGGGAAGUGGAGUGUUAAUUGCUUAGUUCAUGCUUGCUGAUAGUCAACGCCGUGCGCAUCCAUGCUGUAUUAAGUGAGUCUUAUUGUGCCAUACAGUAUGAGAAAUCGACUAAAUUUUAUGGAGUCGUUGUUGUUUAAGAAAAUGGCUCAUGCUCUGGUGGUCAGGUAUGAUACCGGGCCUUCAGCAAGUUAUGAGUGCCACAAGAGGUGCAACCGAUUCUUUUUCUGGUGUCACGAGACAUAUUAAUUCUGCUGUAAGUUGCUUUUCCAUGAUCAUAUGCAUGCAUACUUGCAUUGAUUAUGUAUUUACUGAUUCUCUCGAUCUGAUUUUGCAAUUUUCUUCCCUGUGUUCGUGCUCUAGCUAAGGAAGGUGGGGUUAAAGAACAUUGAAGCAGGUAUUGGUUGUGGAGUUGGUAUAGGACAUGGUUUUGGAAUAGGUACACACUGCAGCUAUUGCACUUAUUUAGCCCUGUAAACUUUUUUUCCAUCGAUGUUGUCUUGGAAAAUCUAGUUUCUGUUAUAUGCAACUAUUGCUUAUCUCCAUUUAUGCCCCUCCCCUCCUUGUCAAGUAGUGCAUUGUCUCUUGUGUGUUUGUCAUAUCUGUUCUUUUUCUUGGUGGGCCACAUCAUAGUGUAUAGUCGUCCACAUAUAGCAAUCAUAUUAAUAUUAGGAUGACAUUGUGAUGCACUGAUUCUUCAAUUUAUAAUUUGUUAUUCCCCCUUUUUUGUUCACUGUCUGUGGGGUUGUCAGCUCAUCUUUACUUUGCUUCAAAGAUCUCAUCCUUGUGAAAUAGAAACGGCAAUGUAUGCCAUUCAUCUUGUUAGAACCACUUUUCAUGUCUAGCAGACUAGCAGUCGCCCAGAGUAGCUUGCAUGAGCAAUUUCUUCAAUUGCUGCACCACUUACUGCUUUAAUGUUUUCUUACCACAAAUUGCCAAACUUACCUUAUUUCCUUUUAGACAUCAUAUGCACCACAAAUAUAUUGGAACCAUUAAUGUUACGUCUAUGACUACAUUUUUCUCGCACAUGUCCAUGAACUUGUUUUCUGUGAUCUGAAGCUAAAUCAGUAAAGCAUAUCUUCAAUUUUCAGGAAUUGCCUUGAAACCACGAGUUAUUCAUGAUAUUCAAUCUUCAGUCACAGUACAUAACUUAACACCAAGUUUACCUGAUAUUUUCUCUGUUUCCUUUCUUCUUGCACGGACAUUCACAGGACUAUUUUUUUUCUAGGAAGUUAUGUCCAAGUUGACUUCAAAGCUGAAGGAUUCCCCUGGGGUGUCAGCUACAUCAAAUCUUACAGCUGGUUCUUUGCCUACCAAUGGACAAACUCCCAAUGGUAUGCCCAUGGAUCUAGAAGUAGAGGCUAAGACAGUGGAAAGUAAUUUCCACCAUACUUCAAGCAAUGAAAUAUCGCAAGUACAACCUACUCAUGGCUUGCAUGGCCAGCAUGGGAUGCAGCCUGAGACAAUAACAGGAAGUCGAACUGAAAAGGUCAUUGCCAAUUUUCUACAGAGUCCCCUGUUCCAGAACAAUACAAAAACGGACAUCAGGGAUGCUGUAUGUACUAAAACCUCACCUCAAGAUUCUCUGUAACCUGUACAUAUAUUGAUCCAUUAUCAUGAGCUGCAGCUAUGUCUUCUGCUGCUCAAUGUUUCUUGUUCAAACAUUGUUUUCUAAUGGACAUUCUGGACACUCCUUUUCCUCUUGUUCAUUUACAGGCGGUAAAUUUGCAUGGGAUGGAUAACGUCCUUCAGUUGGUGAGUUCAAUCACACUUUAUAAUUCUACUCUAAGGCUUGGUAGUUCUAUCCCUGUCCUUUGUGUCAGAUGUGUUACUCAUACUCAUGUCCACCCAAUGCGGACCUAAAAUGAUGUGCCCUUGACCUAUUUAUUUAUUUAAGAAGUAAAAUACUAUUUUCAUCUCAGCAGAUAAAUAUUUAAUAUAAUUGCUACAGUGAUUAUUGUUUAAAUCACAUUUAAUGGUUUGCAGUUACUAUUUAUCUUUCGUUCCUGAUUUCAUUGUUGUAAAAAAAAUACUUAUGAUUUCAUUCAUGGCUGACUACUAAUUGGUUCUGCAUUUCUUGCUUAUCCAGAUACUGAAGCACCAGAGAGUUAUUGACGAACUCCGGGAUGAGAAUGAAAAGCUACGUCAAGUGCUCAUAGAGGAACUUAAGGUUUCACCAACUAAAUUACAACUGGGUCGAGAAAAUGGAGUUAAGGCAUAUUAUCCAUGCUCGGAGUGUUUUGACUGCCGACGACGAAGUCGGAAAUCGAACAGAUAGUAGUGCAUUGCCUCCAGUUACUUGUAGCAAAGUUUUUCUAUUUAUCCACUAGCUGAAGAUUUCUAGAGCAUUAGUAGUAACUGGCAGGCAAACACUUUUUGUUCAGGCAUAAUUUUGCCAUCCAUCUGGUGUACAUUUAUCUGUUGGUCCUUUGACUGGUAUUGUUUUGAUUGGAUUGGACCUAAAUUAAUGGUGAAAUUUCAUAAACUUGAAGAAAGUUUACUCAUAUGGAAAUAUCAGAGUGUUUUGACUGCUGACGGCGAAGUCGGAAAUCGAACAGAUAGUAGUGCAUUGCCUCCAGUUACUUGUAGCAAAGUUUUUCUAUUUAUCCACUAGCUGAAGAUUUCUAGAUCAUUAGUAGUAACUGGCAGGCAAACACUUUUUCUUCAGGCAUAAUUUUGCCAUCCAUCUGGUAUACAUUCAUCUGUUGGUCUCGGAAACUUCUCCUUUGACUGGAAUUGUUUUGAUUGGAUUGGACCUAAAUUAAUGGUGAAAUUUCAUAAACUUGAAGAGAGUUUACUCAUAUGGAAAUAGUAUUGUACCGACAUAGACCCAUCAGCUCCGCUAUCAUUCCUACCGGCACUACAGAUCAUAGCUAGACUUGCUGAAAAGAGCGGUGUGGAGUGACUUCCCAGUGCAUCACAACCCUACAAGAUCAGGAAGGGGUAGUAGGUAGUCUAAACCACGGCUCGGCACUGAAUCUUCUCACUUAGUCCGAGACGAGGCGUGGCACUUACCUAGAGAUCCCUACUCUCGAUCGAUCGUCAGGUAGAUGUAUCUGGUCAGUCCUGUCAUGAGAACGACGCUUGCAUGGGAACCGGAACACACUAAAAUACAGGGGAGAGAAGCUCCCUCUCCUCUCUCUAGUCUCUAGGUUAUGGCCCGAACUUUUCAGAGGACAUCUCUAUAAAUUCUCCCACACAACUGUCCUGUCCACUUUAACCUCUCGGUAGUCUUCGUAAAGGUUUACUGCAAAAUGGUUUUACUUCUCUCAAUUAGACCAGUCCCAGUACUCAGCCUCCGCCGUUGUACUGUAUCUAAACCAUGUCACCUAAUAAAAAAUCUGACAUGGCAACCUAGUUUUUUAUUUUUAUUUUGCAACCUAGUUUAUGAAAAGGGAGAAAUACCGUAUCUUAAUCAAGAUAUAGCUUCUAGCGGCGAAGUCGUUGAUUAAAUACAACAUGGGAGCGAUGUGUCUAAUCAUGUAAUCACUAAAUGAUUAAACAGGGAUUCUAAGUGGGGCACGUGCCCCACUUGGUGUUAUGGCGCCCCACUUGGUGUUAUGGCACGGCGCUUCCUCCCGAUGCUCUCUCUCGUUCCGUUUUCUGUCCCCAUCUCCCGAUCCCCUUUUUCCUUGUCUCUCUGAGCACGUGCGGCGCCCAAAUCUCGAGCAGGGCGCGGCGUCGUCGACGGAGCCCGGCCUCGGCCGCCACCGAACAGUCCUUGCUCUCGUCGCCCUCCUCGUUCUUGCACUUCCCCGCCGCUGCCGCCUCGCCUUCGGCGCCGCCGCCAGCGCCCCUCGACGUCGACGACACAGACAUGUUGUGCGGCGCAGCGACGGUACCGUACCCUUCCCGCCGCGAGGCAUCCCGACGUCGAUGUCGUCGCCGGCGGUGACGCCCUCCGCCUUUUGCAGCCCCCUUUCAUGGCCUCCUCGGGGGCCUACACCGGCACAUCGAAGUCGUAGCGGUGGCUCCGGUGCUGGCGUGCUGCAGCAGGUCCGCCGCGAACAGCGACCAUCUGCAUCGGUGAGGUGGAGCCUGCACGCCGACGACGCAAGGUGAGGAUAUUUCGGAGCAGAGGAGGCGGCGGUUCUGCCCGCCGCGGACGGCUACAGCGACGGGCUGCUUGACCCAGCCGAGUUCGUGACGGCGAGGGGCUGCUUGACCCGGCCAAGUCCGCCAUGCUAGGCCUAGGCGCGCAUGGCGACGGAGAUAACUACGUCACACACGGAUGUCGCUAUGGCUCACUCAGUCACUCCCUCUCUAUGCUCUCCUCGUCCCCCUUCCUACCCUCCGUGGCCGUAUUCCGGCUAGACAUGAACCCCCUGGCGCCUGCUGCCUGCUGGGCUUCCUUGCAUAGAACGGCUCCUUGUUCCCAGUGCCCUCAAGUGUUUGAUGUUUUCCCUAAAAAAAAAGGUGUUUGAUGUUUGGUCCAACCCAUAAGAGCUUGCAUGUACCAUUGUUGGUUUCUGCCGUCGUUAGAUUCUUGUACAUGUAUAUCAUCAUUUUGUUGCAAGUUGUAAGGUGCAGUAGAAACGAAUGGAUGUGUGGAGAGAUGAUUUUGUUUUGUCCUGUCAAUACAUAUACGAUUUUACUUUAUGCCUGACUUGUUUCUCAUCUCGAAAUAGUUGUCUUUCAAACAUUACAUCUACGAAAAAUUGUCAGGUUAUUUGAUCCUAAUUGACAUGUCAUUUACAACCACUCAAUUGCCACACUUUUUGUCUGUAGCGACCAGGUUAUUCCAUCCUAGUUGCCAUGAUGUUCUACCAUUGAUCAAUUGUCACAUUUUCUGUCCCUAACAACCAGGUUAUUUGAUCAUAAUUGCCAUAUUGAUUAUUAUUGCUAGUUGCCACAUUUUCCGUCCCUGACGACCAGGUUAUUUGAUACUACUUGCCAUGACGUUUACCACGGUUCGAUUUUCCGUCACUGGUGACCUGGUUAUUUGAUCAUAGUUGCCAUGUCAUUUAGAACCGUUCAAUUGCCACAUUUUUUGUCCCUAACGACCAAGUUAUUCCAUCCUAAUUGCCAUGACAUUUUACCAUUCCUCAAUUGCCACAUUUUCUAUCCCUAACAGACAUGUUAUUUGAUCAUAAUUGUCAUGUCGAUUAUUAUUACUCAGCUGCCACAUUUUUUGUUCCUAACAACCAUGUUAUUUGAUCAUAAUUGCCAUGUCCAUUAUUAUUGCUCAGUUGCCACAUUUUCCGUCCCUAGCGAUCAUGUUAUUUGAUACUAGUUGCCAUGUCGGUUAUCACUACUCGAUUGCCACAUUUUAUGUUCCUAGCAACCGGCUAUUUGAUCAUAGUUGCCAUGUCAUUUACAACCGCUAAAUUGCCACAUUUUUUGUCUCCGGCUACCAGGUUAUUCCAUCCUAGUUGCCAUGAUGUGUUACCAUUCCUCAAUUGCCACAUUUUAUGUUCCUAAUAGCCAGUUUAUUUGAUCAUAUUUGCCAUGUCGAUUAUUAUUGUUAAGUUGACACAUUUUUCUGUCCAUAAGAAUCAAGUUAUUUGAUCAUAAUUGUCAUGUCGAUUAUUAUUGCUCAGUUGCCAUAUUUGUUGUCCCUGCCGACCAGACUAUUUUAUUCUAAUUGACAUGUCAUUUAUGACUGCUUAAUUGCCACAUUUCUUUGUCCCUAUCUACCCGGUUAUUUGAUCCUACUUGACAUGUCAUUUAUCAUUGAUCAAUUGUCAUAUUUUUGCCUCUAGCUACCAAUUUAUUUGAGCAUAUGGCCAUGUUGUUUAUCACUGCUCACGUGCUAUUAUAUUUUCUCCUAAUGAUUAGGUUAUUGAUUCUAGUUUUUACAAAAAAAAAUUACCACUGCAAGGUUGCCAUAUAUUUUUACCCCUAACAUUAGCUGUUGCUCGUAGCGAUCAUUUUUAUUUGAGUUACCAUUUGCCACGUUAUUUGCCCUGAGCGUCAGCUGCUGACGUGAAGAAGGUGGGAUAUACAAGCCUAAACUGUUGUUCUGUUAUAUUUUCAAAAAACAAACAUGAACUAAGCAUCCGAUACCCACUCCAUCAAAACAAGGCACAAGUGUGGUACAACCAGAAAAAAGUGAAGGACGUGACAACGACGGGGCAACGGGAGCUGCUUGGGCCGUGUCAGGCCCAAUUGCUUGCGUGCUUGGGCUGUGGCUGAGGCGUCGCUGGGGAGCGAGCGCACAGGAGCAGGUGCGCAGAGCGAGCGAGCGGGGCGUUCAUUGGCGCCGCUGUAUCGAGUUAGGUGGGAAACGCUGCUGCGUAGUACAGUCCAUGAUUAAAAUGAUUUUUGUGUAAACUAAAAAUCAACUGGUUACAUGUGACUGGCACCUCUUAAACGAGCACAACGUAGGAGAAAUUUAGGAAUGAGAAAAUUUAGACCCCAAAUCUUCUAUAUCUAAAGUAGUAGAACCUCACUACUUAACUUCUCUCAACAUGGAAGCAUGCUAUGUUCUCACAUCAUUAAUUUGUUCACACUUUUGUUGGGAACUCAUAUUUUUCAUAUGCAUGCAUGCUGCUUCCCUCAUGCCACUUUAGUGAAAAAUACAUUAUACAAUUCUGUUAUAUGUUUUCAGUUUUGGAUAAUCUUUUGUUGCUACUCAAUUUAACAAAAAAUGUCCGCAACAACGUGCGGGGAAUCAUCUAGUAUUAAGAAACAGAAGGCACAACUAUGAUUUCACGGGUCACCCCCUUGGUCUAAAAAGAUGUUGAUAAUGGCUUCCCAUACCUCAAAUUUCUUUCGUUCCGACGAGUUCUCAUUGUCCAUGACAUAUGGUCCGUUCGUGUGCCGGAUUACUUCAUGAUGCAUCCCAGACCCAUAUGGUUGGGGGCUUGGAGCUAAUCUCAUGGGGUCACAAAAUCCUAUCCCCCGCCAAGACAUAGAAGCAAUUUUCUCUCCUUCUCUUGUCGUGCCUACAAUUUUCUAUUUCUUCUCGUCUACCAUGUCACGUGUGAUAUAUAUCGUGCCCCUUUAGUUGACCCAUCUACACCAACCUAUUUCUUGGUUCCUUUUGUAAAUAUCAUUGGUCUUGAGAUUGCUGAUCGAAUUUACCGCUUGGUCAUGGUUGCUUGGUUCUUAGUUGAACAAGAGCCGGGUGAUCCGUAAAAGAAGACUGUGGAAAGCUCAUACAGCAGAAGAUGCAGCAAGUUGAAUCAAAUUCGAAUCCAUAACCUGAACAUAGCUUUAGCCCGUAGCAAACUAAUAUGCAUUCCGAUGGAGGGUUAACAAAACCCGAGACAGAGAGGGAAAAAAGAAGAAGAAGAGAACAACACUAGUCAUUACAGCCGACCGAUCGUAGCAUAAAAAUGGAGGCAAUCUAGCUUACAUCCAGCUACUGCAAAGAUACUCAACUAAUUUCAGUUCAGGCACAAAACUAAUUCUGAAUCAAUCUAUUCCGGUCACGAAUUAAACACAUGUAAAGUUGAGACAUCGGAGGAGAAGGGGAAGUGGUCUUCAGAUGAAUCUAGGACGGCGCCGUCACCAGCGGCCUGGGAGAGGCGAUAAAUUAUGAGCGCGGGCUUCUUGUCAUCGUCUUCGUCGCCAACUUCAGAAUCCGAUAGCGAGAUGCGGGAUCAAUUCACUGAAUUGGGGAUAAUAUACGAAGGAGGGCAGCGAGAGCACGGAGCUCGUGGCGGCAGAUGGCAGCAGUAAACCCCCAAGACCAUGUGGCACUAGUGUAUUUUUUUAAAAAAAAACACUAGUUCGAGCAUGAGAAGAAGUGAUUUUUUCUUAAGAAAAACUAGAGAUAAUCUCCUCUAAUUUCUCACUAGCACCAAACAAUCAUUUGAGAUUUAUAGCGUUCUUCAAUUUUGAGUGGAUAAGAUUCUUGAAAACACUAAAAGCACUAAUGCCAAACAAGGCCUAACAUAACUACUUGAGCAGCAAGCAGAGUUGGGGAUGGAGAUGCUAACAGAGCUUGUGGCGGCGGAUCCCUAAUUUGAGCAUCGGAAAUGCUUCACGUGCGAUCAAAUUUUACAAUUUUGACAUGAUGCAGGUCAAGCAAUUGGCAAUAUGCCAUGCCGCACAAAGCGCAGGGCAGUUUGUGGCUCUGUGCGUAAGAUUGUACUCCCUCGCUCUCAUAAUUCUUGUUUCAAAUUUGUCUAAAUAUGAAUGUAUCUAUUUAAAAGACAUAUAGAUACAUAUAAUAUUUUUAUGGAAGGUACGAGUACAAUUUUGUUUCAAAUCGCAAUACUGAUGCGAGCACCGAGCGGUCGGCGGGUGCGCAGACGUUGUUUUGUCCUCGAUGUUUGGGCUGGACCUAUGAGUUCAACUGGUUUGACUAAGCUUUGGUCUGAACCCAAACGGCACUGGUCCAGUCCUCUUUUGUGGUCGAUCCGCCCCAGUCCAAUCAUUUCUCUUCUCAACACAUUUGGAUCGAACCUGGUAGAACUCGUUUCAAUUGCCACACCACGAGAUUCAAACGAAACCACAUGAUGGACACCUCUGUCUAGAACAUGCUGCGCAAGCUGAGUUCCUAUCGUUCACGAUACAUCCCAAACCCAACUAUGUGCUAGCUAAGUCUAAGGAUGGCAUCUUCAUCUUCAGUCACUGUCCUAGCCUUUCUCUCGUCAUUUAGACAUACGAUUAUUCCAUACAUUUCCCAAUUAUCUUGCCUAGCAUGACUUGUGUGUGGUAUAUAUUUUGCCACUCGAAUGCAUUCUUCCCACCCACCGAAAAAGCCGCAUGGGCCAUGGUAUACUCUCCAUACUAUCUCGCCGGUCAAAGCGAUAGGGUCUGCUUGGUUUAGCGUCCAUGCAUGCCCUGCCAAUAUUAGGUGUGCCACGCUUCGAGGGCCACUUUUUGGUUGGGAGCCUGCAUGUUGUCGAGCCUCCGCAAUGUCCCAACAAAUGCGCCCGUGUUAGUUGGUUUUUGCGCCCACACGCGGGCGAGACGCGGGUGGAAAGAUCAUCUACCAAAUCGUGAGCGAGCCAAGGCUUCGACGUGGUGGGCUGGGGUAGAAUCCAAACAUACCGAUAGCGACAGGCUGGAGGAACCUUAUGCCAGUCCCUUGUGUACUUUAUCCCCUUCCACCAGCCUUAGGCCACCGCUAAGCAGUAGGGGUGGGCAUAAAACCCGAAGAAUUGAAACCGAUGACCGAAGAACAAAAACCGAGGCGAUUGGAACGAAACCGAUGAACCGAUUAAAUUUUCGGUCAGCAAACCUAUAGAACCGAAGUUUCUUCGGUUAAUUCGGUUACUACCCUCGGUUAACCGAAAAAACCCGAAGAACCGAAUAUUCAAACCAUCACAAGAAAUAGUGGUGCGUCCUCAGCCUAACUCCCAAAACGUCCUCCUCCCUCCCUCCAAGACCAGCCCAUAAAGAAAAACGAUGCUCCCGAAUCUCAUCGAUCUGCUUGCGCCUAACCCCGACCCUCAGCACUCACCCGGUUCCCAGCUCAACUCUAGCCGCCCGGCGCCGGCUGCCAUACCGGCGCGGCAUGGCAGUGCCGCCGGCCGCCACACCCUGCUCUCGUCCUGGGAUCUCCGGCUUUCCUCCAUCUCUGAACCCCGCCUUAACUUCCCUACACGAGGACUAGCUCCCGGUACGGCGAGUUUUCUUCACAAUAUGGUUUCUCGUGUGCUGCUUGUAAUUGAUUCGGUUUUGUUUGGUUAUAACCGAGAACCAAACCGAAUUUUCGGUUCUAAAAUAUUUUGGUUCUCAUUUUGUCCAAGAACCGAUCGGUCAUGAUUUCUAAAGAACCGAAAUAUGGCAAAACCUGAAGAACCGAACGGACUAAGCAGGACCACUCCAUGGCCGCCGCCGCGUUUCCUGAGUCGGUCGAAUACCUUCGCUCUGAUACCUUGCGGUGGCAGAAAUUUUUGGAUCCAUCACUUUGAUACGGGUAAAGUAUACAUAUAAACAUACAUAGAGUGGGCCAAUGGGCCACACCAACAGACAUACUCACACGAAUUUGGCCCAUGGAUCUCGCGUGGCGCCGGUGAUGGCUGCCUAGCUGGAAAGGGAUGAAUUGUGAGCGCAAAUUUUGCAUCAUGGUCGUCGUAUCCAACUCGAGAAACCGAUAGGUUUGAGACACAGGAUCGCUUCACCGAAUUGGGCUGGGCGACGGCACAGAUCCGUAGUGCCACUACCAUCUAGUCGGAGGGCGGGCGGAGCUUGUUUUCGUCCGACGAGAUGUGUCAGGCCUGUAGAUUCAACUGUUUUGACCAAGCUUUGGUCUGAACCCAAACCACACUUAUCCAACACACUUUUGUGCAAAAUCUGCCCCAGUCCAGAUCGUUUUUCUUUUCACCCGCCUUGGAUUCAAGAUCCCCGCAGGAUCCAAACAAAUCGGCAUGACUGAACGGUCUUACUGGUGGAACAUGCAGCCCACAAUGACUUCCUAUUGUUCACGAUACAUCCCAAACCCAAAUUUGGUUCUGUACUAGUAAGUCUAAAGCGCGGCAUCCUCACCUUCAGUCAAUAUCUUUGCCAUCUCCCAUCAUCUAAAUAUACUGAUUCUCUACAUUUUCUAGUUCUCUUGCUAGCAAGCAUGGCUUGUGUGUGUAACUAUAUAUCUUGCCCUUCGAAUUCAUUGUCAACACCAACCGAAAACCCCACAUGGGCCAUGGUAUACUCUCCAUAAUAUCUUGUCCUUCAUCAAAGUUAUAGGGGAUCCCCAAGUUAUAGAGAUAGUUUGUUUAGUUGGUAGAGCAUGUGCAGUUUUUUUUUUCUCUCUUUCGAGGAAAGCACGUGCAGCCAUCAUGCACAUGUGUACACUUGCUGGCUGCGUGGGCCGUAGCCGUUACAGGCCCAGGCCCGAGAAGGGGAAAAAAAACGAGCGGGAAACGUCACGCGCUCGCGCCGCACCAGAAACAUCGCUGCCCAAAAUUCCACUCGCCAACAAAAAUUUCCCGCCUCCGGUCCGGACCCAAUCCGCAAGAACGACCAACCCCGGGGGCCUAAUCGCAAAACCCUCCGCUCUUCCUCCCUCUUCACCAGCAGAGCACCAUUCGAAGCGAAGCCAGGUUCCCACCCAAACCCUACGGGAAAUCGAGGCCCAUGCCUUCCUCUUGCGGAUCUUGCUAGAGCAGCAGAUCCCGAACGCCUCGCCCUCUACGAUGGAUCCCGCCGGCGUCGGGCCGAGGGAGACGGAGCUCGCGUGGCACCUCCUCACCGUGCUCGUCCGCAUCGGCCGCCCUGCCGCCGCCGCCGAGCUCGCCGCCACCGUGGCAUCGGCGUCUGGUGACGUGACGCCGCAGCUCAUAGAGCGGCUGUGCGGCGCCCCUGGGUCGCCGCUCCGGUGCUCUAGCGGCGGCGUGGUGACCGCGUCGGAGACUGCCGUCGCGGCGUUUCUGAGGUUCGUGGGGUGGGAGUAUGUCCCGCCGCCGCCGAGGGUGGGGCUGAGAGCCUCCGACUUGAGGAGGUGGCGCGGCGAGGUUCCAAUUCGGUAUGACUGCAAGGGGAAGGCGUCGUCAGAUGCCAAGGACUUCGGCGUGAAGAGGCGCCUCUUGAUGGGGGGUGACUCAGGUUUGGUUUGAAUGUGUCUUUGUACUGUGUGAUAGGUUCCGCUGAGGUACAAUUCAGAUUUGCCGACCUCCGUUUGGAUAAUUUUGUGCAGAUUUGGUAGAACAAGAGCAGCAGCAGUUGCAACAGCUGAUUGUGCAAAGCUGUUCGUCAGUUGCUACCAGUGAGGUAUAGUUUCUCUUCCUUAGUCUUGCUGUUCAUGCUUUUCUUCCGCUGAAGAAUUACCUAAGCCAAGGCAACAUUCCGACAAUAUUAUGGUGCAGUACCUCAAUACAUGGCCAAUCAAACAUGACAUUUGGAGUUCUUCCCAUAUUUCUAGUAAAGAUCAGUUGAAGAAAAUCGCUACAUGAUUUUACUAUUACAACCUGUGUUUCCUGUAGUGAUGGGGAUAUCGCAGACAACUCUAUUGUAUUACCCUACUGAAGUUUUGCAUGUGACCUCUGACUUGCUAGUUGCUGCUAUGCAGUUAAGUUCAUUUCCAUAUAAUAGUAACAAUAGCUUCUCCUUUUCCUUUGUUCGGUUUCAUAUCUUGCCCAGGUACACCUGGAGGUUAUGCAAGAAGGCAUUCCUAAUCUGGGCCCAUAUACUGUUGAACCUUCCUUGAAGUUUUUAACUGGGGGUACUCUAGUUCCCAGUGCUGCUCAAAUUAGCAUGUCUUGUCUUCAACAUAGACUUGAUCAGUUAUUUGGAGGCAGUGACGAGAACAUUCUUGGGAAAACGACAUCUGCACCAGUGCCAAUGGAGGUGUCAACCCCUUCCUUUAUUGGCAUUCCUUCCCUAUGUGCUGAAAAAACAGAAAGAGUCCAUGCAGCAGCUGAUAAUGAAACUAAUGGGAUUGGUGAACCUGAAGGAGCAUUUCCAUUUUAUAACAGCAGAGUAGAGGAUAGUGAUGAUCUAGAAAAGGCCAGCCUCCUUCCUACGACAGCUGCAGUUGGCACUACUGUAAUUGGGGUCGAUGAGGAUCUAAAUUUUAUUUACAAAGGACCUAGCAGUCCAUUUCAUAAUUGCAAUACGCAUGCAGUAGAGAAUACAGGAAGAAGUAAUGUGAUCUCUGACCAAGCAGCUGUACGACAUGACAGUCCAAAUGCUGGAUACUGUGAGGAGAUCCCAUCUUGUGGUCCGAAUGCUAAUGCUUCGGCAGAAAUUCAGAACAAUAAGGCAAUACAAGUUCUAUUCCAGUCUCCUACACACACCAAAGCAGAACCCAUAUUACAUGAUCGGAUGCAUAGAACGAUACAAAGCUCGUGUCAACCAUCUCUGGAUGCGAAAGUUAAACCAGCAGUAUUGCCACUAGAAGCAACGAGCUAUGAUUGUGUUAAGAACAGUAUAGAAAACAAAUAUCUGAUUGACAGAGAGCAGCAACGUAACGACGUGGGUGUCAAUUUUUCUAAGAAGGAGCAAGAUAGAAAGAUAGUGAAACAAAGGGAUAAGGGCAAGAAAAAUAAUGUACUGCCUGCAGGAGUGAAGGAUCAACUUGCAGAAAGGGCUCAAAAGGUUAGUCCUGUGUACAUUAUGGUGACAUCGCAAUUACUAAUUUUGAGACCUGUUCUAUUUAGGUAUGGUUGAAUGCCAUAGUAAUAUCUUAUACCAAUCAAUAUCAUUAACCUUGUUUGAAAGAUCUGGUUGAUCAUUUUUUGAAGUUUUCUUGAUAUACUGCGUUUACAGGGAAAUGCAGAGCCAAAACCACUGCCUAUCUUCAAGAAUUUUGUUGUAGAGGAGGAGGAAGGGUCAGGUGAGAGUCCCUAUUCGUUUCUGUUGGAACUAUGUCCGUAGUUUUGCUGAAUGACUAACGUUUCAUGUUCAUUAUUUGCUCAGGAGGUUAUGGGAUCGUUUAUAGGGCUCGGAGAAAAACAGAUGGAAGUAUAGUUGCCAUAAAAUGUGCGAACAUCAUUUUCUCUUGUCUUGAUAGAUCUAUUUUCAUCAUCUAUACAUACUUGUAUAUGUGGUUCCAUGAAUGUACUUACUGCUGUUUUGACAGUCUUCUGUAUGUUUGUAUUGCCAGGCCCUCAUUCAAACGCCCAUUCACAUCAUGUUGACAAUGAACGAAAGAUGUUGGAAAGAUUUGGGUACUAAUGAAUGCAGCAGUUUCUUAAAUCCCUUUAAUAGUAUGAUCUUGUUCCCCACAGCAAAAUUAACAGAGUAAACUUUUUUUUUUGCAGAGGCAAGCAUUUCGUGAUUAGAUAUGAAACCUCGCUUAGAAGUGGUGAUCUAGACUGCUUUGUUCUAGAACAUGUUGUGCAUGACAGACCAGAGGUUGGGCAUUUUGGCUGGCUAAUGAAUGUAAUUUGCCCUAUUAACUAUAUGUGUCUGUUCAUUCUUUUUGUUAAGUAUGCCUCUCAUCUCUACAGAUUCUGAAAAAGGAAAUAAGUGUGUUUGAGAUGAAGUGGUAUGGGUAUUGUUUGUUCAGCGCUCUUUCAAGCUUACAUAAACAGGUUUGGUUUAACUUCAUGUUACCAUAAUCUACUGUUGAGUUCUGCUUGUCAUUACAAUUAAUUCCCCAGCUAAUCCUGGGUAUCUGAUAUUUCUGCUCCCAGGGAGUAGUGCACAGAGAUGUAAAACCUGGAAACUUCCUCUUCUCUCGUAGACUGGCAAAGGGAUAUCUUAUUGACUUCAACUUGGCAAAUGUUAGUGCAUGUACAUAUCUCUCAACAUGAUGCCCGCUUCAUGUUUUCUUUGAUGAUUCUUUUUUUCAGUAUUAGAUGCUAACUGGUUUUCUUUCUUUGAUUCCCAUGCAGGAUAUUCAUCAGAAGUACUUGAGAAACAGUAAGUUCACCUUCUAAUUUCGAAUUAUUCGUUUGAUGAUUUGUUGGCGCACUUUGACUCAUUGAUUGUUAUUUUGGCUUGUAUUUUCUGUGCUGCUAUAAUGCCCUGGAAUUUUUUCACUUUGGAACAUUUUGUACUUGUGUUUUGUAAAAAAAAAGAUGGGGAACACUAAUAUAGUAAUAUCUCCAGCAGCAAAUCCAACCUUUGAAGCAUUAGAAUAUGUCACCAUAGUUUCGCCCAAAAAGCUUUCUCCUGACAGUGCCACAAUGGUCUUAAAAAGUUUGAAGUCACUAGCUUGAACAACAAAUGAUAUAUGUGUUUCUUGAAAAAUAUAUUUAUCUUUACGUCUAUAAAGAUAUCAGUCGGUGGCAGUGGUCCGUUUAUCUUCGGAUCACACCACGUCACCACCUGCCGGAUCUGGCACAAACUGUUGGGUGAGCGGAUAUGGAUGGUUUGAUUUGGUACAAAUAUUCUUAAACCCUUAAACAUACAUAAAAUUAUUUUAUUCUGUAGCAGCACACAGGCAUUGUUCUAGCCUGAGUUAAAGGUGUCUCGAAAAGAAAUAACAUCUGAGGUACUAGCACCUUGACAGUUUAAUUAAGGAGUGGUGUGUAUCCACCCGAAAUUGUGAGCUCGAUGACUCGAACUUGGGUGGGUGAGGAUUGAACAACACCCCCCACCACCAGGCUAAGCCUUGGUCUGUGUCUGAGUGAGAAGUGUCAUGAAAAGUUUUGCUACAUGCUGUCAAUUUUAUUAAUCCUUGAUAUAAACUGAUUCAACAGUGAGUAAGCCCUGUAGUGUGGCCAGUCUCUGGUCCAUUAACAGUUUCUGUUUAAUGGAUUUGGAACUUCCCUUCAAAUUGCUACAUUUAUGUUCCUUUGUGCUGUGCAUGACUAGAGAAUAGGUAUUGAAUUUUCAGUGUGAUUGAUUAGGUAAAUCUGAAACUAUCUCAUGUGGGAAGGAUACCACAUCUCAAUCUGCAUUGAAGUCUGCUCUAGUUAUUCAUGCCAAAGAAGUAGCUGCUGAUCCGAAACAAGCUCUUGGAUCCAAGAGGAAAAGAUCAAAUAAAAGCCCAGUGGGUGGUGAUCCUAGGAUUGGAAAUAAAAGUAAGCAUGGUGGCCAAGCUGCUGAUAUAUCUGGUGUUACCUCUGCCAAGGAUCCUACAAGCACGAAAACACAAUUAGACAGGUUAAAGCAGCCAAUGCCUUACAAAGGACGGAAGGAACUAAUGAACUUCUUGCAUGAGGCAAUGCACAGUCCCAAACAAAAGACACUGGAAGCUCCUGUUUCCCAAAGGAAGAGGGUUGCUGCUCCUGUUAGUAGUGGGGAUCGGAAGCUCUUUGUACUAACACCAAUGCCCCUGCGUUCUGGUGGUAGUGCUGUUGCUGGCACUGGCAUGUUUAACAGCAAAGGUACGUUUGCCCCCACCAAAACGCAUUGCACCAUAUAUUUGUACUGAAUCCAGCAACCUUGGACUUCAGAGUGAUCUAACUGAUUGGUACUUGCAGGACAAGGAAAACAGCGAAGAGAAGGUCCCUGCGUUGGAACCAAAGGAUUCCGAGCUCCAGAGGUUAGCUUCUGUUUCUAUUCAUGAGGGUGUCUCAGCUGCAAGGUGCCAUAUUUGAAGGAUGUCUUUCCUGCAGGUUCUUUUAAGAUCUUUCUACCAGGGUUGCAAAGUUGAUGUUUGGUCGGCUGGGGUGACGCUCCUCUACUUGAUAAUCGGCAAAUCACCUUUUGGUGGAGACCCUGAACAGUGAGUUAAACUACUGCAUUCACAAAAUUUUGUUUAACCAGGACGAAGAACCCGCUAAACUUGUGGAAUAUGUUCAACAAACAGGAACAUGAAGGAAAUAGCGAAGCUGAGAGGCAGCGAAGGAUUAUGGGAAGUAGCAAAACUGCACAACUGUGAAUCUUCAUACCCAUCGGUACGCAAACUCAUUGCUGGCACUUGAAGCCCCCUCUGAACAGAUUGUUGAACCAGUCACCUUAAACAUCCCCCCUUUGUUUCGCAGGAGUUAUGUGAUGCCAAAUGGCUGCAGUCGGUGGAUCUCAGGGAGUGGUGUGUGGCCAACGCGCGGAGGCCGGAGUUCCUCGAGUAUUUACCUGACUCACUGUUUGAUCUUGUCGACAAGUGCCUGGCAGUAAACCCUAGGUGCAGGAUCACAUCGGAUGAAGCUCUGUCGCAUGAGUUCUUCGCUUCAUGCCAUGAAAGCCUGAGGAAGAAGAAGGCACUCAGGAUUGGAAGAUCAGGUGCAGGAGCUUCUCAUCCCCCUCCAUCUUUGUCCCAAGACAACAUGGUUAAGGUGAACGAAUCACAGCGCUUGUUUCCGACAAUAUUUGACUUAAUUUAACCUCUGUAAGCUGAUACCGUCAUAGUGAUAACCAGGCCUGUGCCAAUAGCCUGACAUGUUAUUUUUUGUUGUAAAUGCUGUACUUAAAGAUAUAAUCAGCGAUGACUGAAAAAAAGAAAGAUAUAAUCAGCGAUGUGCUGAUGCUCGUUUGUGUUGACAAGGUUGGUAUAAAGUAAUCGUUGUAUUUAUGCAUGAUAAAGCUCUGUUUUGCCGCAUGUUCCAAGGGUAGAUAUAACGGCAUGUAUUGAAAUUUUCUUACUCAUUAUUCAGAGUUGUAAGAACGGAGACCGUUUUGCCGCAUGAUCUUUGGCAGGAAUUUAGGGGUGAGUGGUUUUAUCAGACGGCGGUCGUUUUUGCGUAACUCAAAGCUGCAAGCCUGCAACUGAUGCUCCCCAGGCGAAAAUCUUAUUUUUGUAUUUUCUGAACGUUAAAGUUGAAAGAAAAAUUUACAUGAGAAUUUGUUCGUGGUACCUGCAUGGAAAAGUGUAAUUUCCGAGUUAAGCGUUGGCCGCUAGAGCACUUGCACCUGACCUGAGGACAAACAAAUUGUGCUGCUAAGCCCUCCGGAAGGUGUACGUGGACCGUCAUCUGAUCAUAAAAAAACUUGUCCAGUUUCGUGGGUCAGCAUCGAUCAUCUACUCACAUUUAGAGGCCAUGGCUUACUCCGUCCAUUUCCCACCUACGUGUCCAGCAACGCCGUCGCAAAUCCGCAUCGCAUCAUCCUCUCAUCUUCUUCUUAUCCAAGGCACGCUAACCCCACACGAAACCACUUGUCCACUUCUUCACCCGGUCAAAAACUCUCCAAGAUUCCACCGCUCACUCGAAGCUGUCCAACAUCAAAUCAAAUCGACUACUGAUAAGAUAAGUACAAGAACUUCUGUUCUGGCUAACAGAGGUUUUCAGUUUAAAUUCUGAAGAAACUGAAUUUUUGAAAUAAAACUACCUGAACAUGGACCACGCAUUUGUUACAAAUACUAGAUUGAAAUAGGUUGAAUUUGAUCUUCGGUGCAAUUUACUCUCGUUUUAUCGUGUUGGUUUUUUUUCCUGUGAAAUUUGUGUGUUCCAAACAGGUCUGAAGAAUAUCACAAUGGACUCAAACCCGCUAACCCGCCCAGUCUAGCAGAGCUCCUUCACAAACAAGGUAAAGCUUGCCGUGGAGAAAAAAAACUCGAGCACCAACCAACCAAACGAGAGCAAGCAAGCGACCGGGGAGUGAGCCGAGCCGACGAAGCUUCUGGGCCACGCCGCCACAAAAGGCAACGCAAACCCCUCCCCCCUCGCCUCCAUGCCUCCCCUCGUUCCCCUUCACCUCCUCCCCUCACCCGCCUCCCUCUCCUCCUCCUCGCUCCGCCUCGGCGUCAGCGCCCUCUCCUCGUCGCACCGCCGCUUCCUCGCCCCGACCGCACCGGGCACCGCCAGCGCCAGCCGGGGCCUCGCAGCGAUGAGCUGGCUGGGGAAGCUAGGUCUAGGUGGCGGGGGCAGCCCGCGGGCGUCGGACGCAGCGGCGGCGGCGCUGGCGCAGGGGCCCGACGAGGACCGUCCGGCGGCGCCCGGGAACGAGUUCGCGCAGUUCGGGGCCGGGUGCUUCUGGGGCGUGGAGCUGGUGUUCCAGCGCGUGCCCGGGGUGACCCGCACGGAGGUGGGCUACAGCCAGGGCGCCGUCCACGACCCGGCCUACGAGGACGUCUGCACCGGCGCCACGGGCCACAACGAGGUCGUCCGCGUCCAGUACGACCCUGCCGCCUGCAAGUACGACGACCUCCUCGACACCUUCUGGACCAAACAUGACCCGACCACGCCCAAUCGCCAGGUCCGUCCGCCAUAAGAUAACACUAUCUGCCUUCUUGGGGAUUCGGGAAAUUUGUCGGAAUCGGGGAAAUUUUGAUGUGAUAAGUUCUGGAGAAUUUUUUGGGGAAAUUGCCGAUUCAGCAGUAGAACAGAGAUAAUUUGUUGCGAAAUUAAGAGUAGGAACAAAUAGGAAAAGAUUCGUUGCCUGAGACAUUUAGAUUCUUGGGGGAAAGCCCCAUCCAUGUAGUUAACCACUCGGCCAAAGCAACGCUUCUGUUCUUCCUUGCAUCUGAACCCCACAGAGGAAAAGGUCAGUACUGCAGCUUCGUAGUUGGGAGUACUAUCUGUCGUGUACGGUGCAAAACGCACUAUUCAAGCAACUUCGGAUAGGAGUACCAGUGCACCUGUGAGCAACAUGGCUGGAGAGUGUUACCCUGGAACACGUGAUGCCCAUCACCUGUGAGGCUGUGGCCACUGCGAUUACACCAGGUCUGAUGGCGUAGCACAAAUAGUGUCCAACACUAGUUUUGGUAGCAACUGCCUAAUCCUAAACCAACCUUCAGUAGUCCUAAACCUGACCUUCAGCAAUCACUACUUCAGGUACGAUGUUUUGGUAGCAACAUUUUCUGGUAUGUGCUAAGUUAGUGGUGUUAAUCUUGAAUUUGAGCCUGAGGUGCAGCAUCCACUUCUGCAGUGGUCUCCUCGAAAUAUUAGGCUGUUGUUGACCUGACACCUUGACUGAGAGUACACUAUAUUUCCUGAUGUCAUAAUAUUUCGUCCAACUGGCUCACAGCCUUUUGAAUUAAAUACGACUCUAGAUAAGCUUCUCAGUCUCAUAUGUGUAAUUUGAAUCUCCAUACAACAUUCAGCAGCUCUUCAAACUUGUUUCUUGACAACAACCUAGUUCUUUCAAUUGUUUUGCGCAUGAUAACCCUUUAGUUUCGUUCCAUCUUCUGGAGGUUCAGCACUUGCGUUUCUGAUCGCAGACAUUAUGAACUCCAAUAUGCAGGGCAACGACGUCGGGAGCCAAUACAGGUCUGGGAUCUACUAUUACACCCCGGAGCAGGAGAAGACGGCACGGGAGUCCCUGGAGCGGCAACAGAAGGUUCUGAACCGGAAGAUUGUCACUGAAAUCCUCCCAGCGAAGAAGUUCUACAGGGCGGAGGAGUACCACCAACAGUACCUGGAGAAGGGCGGUCGCUUUGGGUUCAAGCAGUCUGCAGACAAGGGCUGCAACGAUCCCAUCCGCUGCUAUGGAUGAAAGCACAAAAUAAGCAACAUAAGAGAGUCGAGAGUGCUGCCUGAAUAAGGAUGGAUCACAGCUGAAUUUUAGUACUCCGUACUAUUUUACAUGUAAGCAUAUAUAAGAGAGCUAUUUCUAUUGUACCUACUGCCUAGUGAUGAAAACCAUCGAACUUGAUGAAUUGUGUAGACAACAACUUAGCAGGCUUGGAACAUGAUAUAAUCCGUUUCAUUGUGGUUACGAAUAUUACAUUAUCUAUUUAAUUGGUUCAGGCUUGGAACAUGAUAUAAUCCGUUUCAUUGUGGUUACGAAUAUUACAUUAUCUAUUUAAUUGGUUAUGAGUAUUGAGUUGCAUGCACCGAAGAGUAAUUCCCUUAUAAUUCAACAAUUAGAAUCCUUAUGGACGUGAUCCAAUUGUCAGUGUUUUAAUACUCCGUGUGAUAAUAUCUAUUCUACCGGUGCACUAAAAGUUUAAUCUGAUGCAAAAAAAACACUUUAACUCACUUGCACAUCGACAAUGAGAAUACUUUUGCUUAUAAAGGUAAUGCAAUCCAAUUGUCGGUGUUUUAGUGAUCCCUCAUAUCCAUGUUGACUCAAAUUUGCCCAAAUAUGAAUGUAUCUGUCUAAAAGACUAGAUACAUGUAAUAUUUCGACAACAAAUAUGGAUCAGAGGGAUUGAUAAAUAUUGAUUCUAACGAAGCACAGAUAACAUGUCAUCGUCACCAACAAUGCUAAUAUGAUAGAAAUUUCAAAUUUUAGUUACUCCCUCCGAUCCAUAUUAGUUGUCAAAAUAUUACAUGUAUUAGACGCUUUUUAUGCAUAGAUAUAUCUAAAGACAAUUAAUAUUGAUUAGAGGGAGUAGAACUUUUUGGACCACCAAUUCAUCAUACCCUAAGGCAUUGCUUGGAUGUAGGUAUUGAAGAGAGGAAUUGAAUUGAGAUGGGAAUGCCAAAUCUGUGUGGUAUUGGAAUUGGCCUCCAAAAUUAUUGUUUGGAUGUGCAUGGUAUUGGUUGUUGGAAUCAGAUGGUGGGAUCCAAUUCCAAAUCAUGUUUGGAUGUACAAACUAUGGAAUUGGCAAUUUUGUUGAGUUUGGACAGUGUACUAUUGUCUACAUGUAUGAAAAAGAAUUGUGUGUAUACUAAAUGUUUAUAUAUUAAUCAUCACACAGAACAACAUAAAGUAUUUUGAAAAAGCUUAUUUCAAGGACAUAAUUAUGAAGAUCUUGAAAAAAACAUGCAAAACAUGACAGCAAUAUUUCAGGGCAUCGAGAUUCUCUUGCACAUAUAUAGCACAACUGAACAUUACAGGUCAUUGAGAUUCUCUUGCACAUAUAUAGCAGAACUGGACAUUACAUGAGUGCCAAGAUACAUAAAUAGUUUAGAUCAUGAGUAUUCUCUUGCACACAGGACAGCACUUAAGUAGCAAAAUACACAAAUAGUUCAGAUCAUGGAGAUUCUCUUGACACAUAAAUAACAAAAUAUAGUAGUUCAAAUCAUGGAGAGCUCCAUCAUGAAAGCAACCAUCAAGGCAGCGUCAUGAGCCAUGCCUUCCUCAAGGUCAUGGGAAGCUCCAUGAGUGAUUCAACCAAGCGCUCACUAGUGGACAGCCUUCCGUAAGCUCUUAGCAUAUCACCUUCUGCCAAAUUUGGUAUAGUUUGAAGUGCAGCAAGGAUUUCAGCUGAAGGAGUAACUUUUGGCAAAGUAACUGGAUCGGUUGUCUUCAAAGCCUCUUGAAAUUCGGACUUCAUAUCUCCCAUCAUGCAGCUACAAUGCACACACCACUUGUGAAUUAAUUUUUAUAUAGACACUACUUUUUUAGAACAUGAAGCAACAGCAUCACAUAUGUAUCACAAAAUCAUAUCACAGUAGGCAAAUAUCAAACUUGGAGCCACAAAAUCAUAUCACAGAUCUAACAUGAAGCAACACCAUCACCAAGUCUAGCAGAAAACGCAAAGAUCAUACCUCCAAUCAGCCUCACGUGAUACAACUGCUCCAGGAAACUCUGCAAUUUAUACAGAUCUAACGAUUAGCCCCCAAAAAAUUAAAGUUCUUGGCUGCAGCUUGGAGAGGAAUCAGAAGGAAUGGAAGUGGAAGAGGAGGGACAGGGACAGGCAGGCUUGGGGAGGCGCGGACGUGGCCAACCUCGGCCUCAAAAGUCUCCCGCGCCGCCGCAGUUCACCCUCCCGUCGUUCUACUCCCACCAGUAGAACAAGGGUUGGAGGGGGCUGCUGGAGGGGAGGGACGACCAAGGGAGGAGAUGGACUUGGAGGAGAAGGGCUAGGGAGGACGGACUUGGAGGAGAAGGGCUAGGGAGGAACGGCAGGGAGAAGGAGGGUGGGGAGGGGGCGGCCUACCUGCGUCGCCGCUGCCGGUGUGAAUCGCCCGGUCUCCUCCCGAGCUCGCUCGGCCUCUCUCUCUGAGUUCUGUUCGAAGCGGUACACGGAGGCCAAUUCCACUGAAAACCGAGGGAAAUCCCUCGGUAUCGCGGGAAGUUAAGUGGCGAGGCGCAGGAGCGAGCGCGGAAUUGUUUUCGGAUUCCAAGCGCCAAUGCCAAAAACAUCCAAACGCUGGAUUUCGGGACUUCAAAUUCCAUAUGCCCAAUUCAUACAUCUAAACAUAGUGUAAUGGACUUCGGUAUGCAACUUACUAGUGUCGGAUCAAUUAAAGGAAACAGUAAAAGAAAGCACUUUUCCAGUACUAUACCAGCACACCAUGCCACGAGGUUCAUAUGAAAGCAGCACCAAAUCAAAUAUAGAGCAAACGCAUAACAUGCAGCAGCAGGAAGAUAACUUCAGUUCACACCCACACAAAUAAGGUUCCUGAGAUACAGAUCUCAAUACUCAAAACUGCAAAUGGCGGCUACUAGUUGGGUAAAUGCUUCAUAUCCUUUGGUCACCCACAAGAUUUGUGUAGAAGCUUAGGACUCGUACACCCAGCAGUGCUGGCUGCUGCUCCACUCGGCAAGGCCCUCAGGGAACCACAGGGCAAUCUCCUUCCUAGCGUUUUCAACUGAGUCACUUCCAUGGAUGACAUUCCUGUAUAUAUGAUGCAGAUAAUAUGUUUCAGAAUGCAUCCAAAUUGGCAAACUUAUAUGGAUAGAAACAAGCACAAACUGUAAUUCUGUGUUGCAGAAAAUUAGGAUAACACGAUACAGUAUGAAAUGUAAUUACUCCUUGUUUUCAUUCAUUCAGUCAUCAGUCAUUAAUAAGAAUCUUGUAGAGAAAUCAACCAGAAUAAUAUAACAGUGGGUUUCCUAGGAUUAUUUUCUGUAAGGAAUGCAUGGUGGGUUAAAUGGCCCAAAAAUGGGUAGGUUGAGCGUACUAAAGUGUAAAAAAACACAUGUUCCAGUGUUUCUGUACUCCAGAUCGGAUUCAAAAUGGAGAUCCAAUGACCAUGCGCCAGAAGUGGAAGCCAUAAUGGACACACUAAAAGUCUGAAUAGUGGAAGCCAUAAUGCAAUAAGAUAAUUCUACUAGCUCAAAGUGCUGUACGGUUGCAUUUAUGAGAUAUAAAGUGCAUACAGCAAGCGCAAAGGAUAUGCUCUUUCAGAUGCUUUCGUUGUGCUAAGCUAGAUAAUAAACUAAUGCACACCAACCAAACUACCGCAACAAGCCAAUUUACAGCUCAGAUCAUAAAAACACAACCAUCCAAAUUUAAUUUGGCUACACAGAACAGAUAGUUUGUGCCACACAAAUAAUCAUUCUCCUGCCAAACUAAUUAGCUAAAUUAUUUAGUCAUUGCUAGACAAGCAUACAACUAGAUAACAAGUGCUUCUACAAAAGAUAUCCUUACAGGCUAGUGGGCAGAUUUUUCAGUUUUACAGCCAAUGACCUACGGUAAUGUGCCCGAUCAACUCAAUUAUAAAGACUGCAGGUAGACAAACCGAAAAGCUACUUUAUAAUUUACUGCAGAUCGGAAUCUGACCUGCCAAUGUCGACGGCGAAGUCACCGCGGAUGGUGCCAGGCUCGGAGGCCAGGGGGUUGGUGGCGCCGAUGAUCUUGCGUCCAGUGGCAACGACGCUCUUGCCCUCCCACACCAUGGCAACCACGGGGCCAGAGACGAUGUACUCGACGAGACCGCCGAAGAAUGGCUUGGAGGACAGAUCGGCGUAGUGCUGCUCGGCGAACGACUUCUCCACGUUCUGGAGCUUCAUCGCUGCACGUCCAGAUCGCAGAUCAGAAAGGCAAUCAUCACCCAUACCACAGUUUGCGCACAAAUCACCAAAUAAGUAGGAGACAUCCGAUCUUUCAUCGAACUAAUCAGCUACUGAAAAAAGACAAGAACGGGCAUGAAAGAGAUUGAUGUAUUAGAUUUGAUUACCUUUGAGGUAGAAGCCCUUCUUCUCGAAGCGGCUGAUGACCUCGCCGAUCUGAGCAGAGCAAAAACCAAGAAGAGGAGAACGCUGAUGUCAGCACACAAGCUAGCAACUAAGCAAAGAGAACAGGGAGAGAAGAGAUGCCGAGUAGAAGGUGCUUACGAGGCCCCUCUGGACGCCGUCGGGCUUGAUCAUGAUGAAGGUCUGCUCCGCCGCCAUUGCUGCUAGUGCUACCUCGAGAUGCUCGCUGGACGGCUGGAGUUUCUAGUUGAGUUCGGUCGGCGGGGCAGGGUAGAGAGGGGGAACCCUAGCCGAGAGCUCCGGGAGAAUAUAUAGGGGGCCGGCCCGGCCACCGCGCACGUGUCUCUCGCUGGUGUCGUUCCGUGCUACGGGCCUGGGCCUGCUGCCGCCGCAAGUUGGAACUAGUGGGCUGUGAGAAGGGCUGGGGCAGUUAUUUGGACCAUGUGUGGGCCUCAGAGCUGUACUGCGAAGAAAAGACAAGAGGGUUGUUUCAAUAUUUGAAUGUCUGUAGAAAUUUUGGACGGCAACAUGCUCUCAAAUUUAAGUUCCUUAAAUCCAUACAUCAUUUAUUUAGAAACUCCGGUUAUAAGCAGAGGCAGUGCAUCCAUUGCGAAAGAACUCUUUUGCGCCGCGCGGACGAGUUCCGACCGCACGCGCCUCGCGCUUCCUUUCCUUCUUUCCCUUUUCGUCCGCGUGCCUCGGCCCAAAAUAUCUUUCCCUUUUCCCUUUUUCUUAAUUUUUUAUCAUCCUCGUAUUUUCCGUCUUCCUGACUCCUCUGCUCUUCUCCAUCCCCGAAUCUCUGGCGUGCUCAACCAAAUCCUCGUCGGCGAGUCGCUGGUGCGGGGUGGAUGGAUCGAUUGGAUUCCCCUUCCCCAGCAAGCCACCACCAAAGUUCCCAUGUGCAGCUACCCCAUUGCGCCUGCUUUGACCACUUCUACUCCUAAUCCCCUUCAUAUUCUGCCCCCAAGUCGGCCGUCGCCUACCUUCCCGGCCGCCCUUACACUUCCGAUGGCGAUGCAGGUAGGUGGGUUAGCGGGGGUAGAUGUAGGUCGUUUGGAGUUUUGUCGAUGCGUGCUCCAGCUCUACUGAUGCCCUUCCCGGCCGCCUUCACCCCGCCUUGGUGUCGUGUUGGUACUUCGGGCAGCAACCUCAAGAGAAGUAGGGGCUUGCAGAGGAGUAUCUAGCGGCUGAACUGCUACCGGUGUGUACCUCCUCUCUCUCUCUACACUUCAACGGCAGGCAAGUUCCACACCAGUGCCAGAUCCAUUCCCUUCCCUUUCUCUUUCAAAUCCUUCAUGUUCGCCGCGCCAUGCGCCCCAGGGUUGGCUGAUGCCAUCACGGUGGAUGGGGAUGGCUGUGUGGCCUGGCGUCAUCACGUCAUGCAGCAGGUUGCGCUCCUGUGCGGCGCUGCCUUGCCGGGAGGCUGUGCUGUCGGCCACUUUUAUGCUUACUACCUUGGGGAAGCCAGUGGCUUGAGUUUGUUUAUGGACAUAGCAGAGGUGUAUUUCAUCUCCAUGCUGCUCCUUUCCCUAUUAUUUUUAUUUAGUUGAUGUGAUAUGGCUCUUGCGUGACUAGGGGCUUCCUAGGUAGAUAACUAGAUAUACUUAUGCUGGUUUGAUGUGAAUUAUAUACGGGAAAAAAUAUGUUAACAUCAUCAAUCACGUGUUGCUAAUUAAGCUCUGCCUUUGUUCAUUUAAUCAAUGUGUUGUUCUACCUUCUACUGGUUCAGAUAACAUUGAUGGUGAACUAAUCCAUGAGAAUCAUUCAUGAACUAAUAAUUUAGUUCUAACUAUCCAUAUAUUAUUUUCUAAUCCCAUGGUGUGUGGGCAACCGAGGUAGCUAUCCUUAUUGUUGUACUUUGGACAGAUCAGCAUCAUCGUUGUUCACUCCACUGCUUAUUGUCUAGCUGCUCAAUUUGUGUGUGGCUGAAUCAUCUGCCUGACUUGUAUGUGCUCUACUGCAACAAGCUGACAAAAGAAAUUCAGAAAUUUUGUUCUUUGCUACGAUGGCAAGAUCUAUCUGCUAAACUACUAGGUCAUGUUUGAUGGUCAUGCGUGCAUAUUCCUAAGUUGGUGCUAAAGGCAUGUACAGUGGAAUGUGCUCAUGCUUAUAUGAGAGUUCUUGAUGAGAGAGAAUAAUAUAUCCACAUAUAGAGACACUGGUGGUAAAUGUGUGCAUAAUCAGGUUCCUGAGAUCAUUAUUUGCAUCAAAAUAGGGUGUAGGGACACAAGAUAGUGCAUCCAAGGUUUGCUGGGGCAUCUGUUGGCGGUGAGAAUAUAUCACUAGGGACUAUUUUGGUGCUGUCAUAUACAUGACAUGUAUGAUAAUGUGUUAUUCAAAUCUGGAUUAUAAGCUUAUGUUCCAUCAGAAUCUACCUUCAUCGUCACCUUAUGUUUAUCCAUGUUUCUUUCUACAAAGAACAUUUUUUUUUGUGCAACGAAGGCUUAUUUUGCUGGAACAUUUUAAUGGCUAUAAGCCAAGCUUUUAAUUGUUUGAGAUUAGCUUUUAGUUUCUUAGAGAUGAGCUUCCAAUUGUCUUGAGACAAGAUUUUUAUUUUUGUAUGACGAUUAUAUUAUUUUUGAGAUUUAAAUUGUUUUGACAAGAGCUUUCAAUCAUCCUUGUGAUAAGCUUUCAGUUUUUCCUGACAAGAGCUAUCAUUUGGUUUGGGAAGAGCUUUCGCUUUUUUUUUAAAUGAGCUCUGAUUUUUUUACAAAUAAGGUUUGAAUUCCUCUGAGAUGAACUUUUGAAUUACUUUGAACCGAACUUUAAGUUUCUUGAGAUUAGCUUCCGGUUUCUCUUAAAUGUACUUCACAUCGUCUUGAGUCAAGAUUUCUUUUUAUGACAACUAUAUUCUUUUGAAAUUAUAUUUGUUUUCACGAGAGCUUUCAACUUUCAAUCUUCCGGAUGAUAAGCUUUCAUUUUUUUUAGAAUAGCUACCGUUUGUUAGGAGAAGAGCUUUCACUUCCUUUGAAAUGAGCUUUGAAUUGUUUAUAAAUAAGAUUUCAAUUCCUUUGAGAUGAGCUUUUGAAUUACUUUUAGCCGAGCUUUCAAUAUCUUGAUAUUAGUUUUCACUUUCUCUUCGAUGUGCUUCCCAUCAUUUUGAGACAAGAUUUUUAUUUUUUAUGAGAAUUAUAUUCUUUUGAAACUAGAUUUAUAUUGUUUUGACAUGAGCUUUCAAUCUUCCUUGAGAUAAGCUUUCAAUUGUAUUUGCAUAAGCUUUCAUUUUCUUUCAGAUGAGCUUGAAUUCUUCUCAUAAAGUUUAAGUUCCUCCGAGAUGAGCUUUUGAGUAAGUCUGAGCCGAACUUUUAAUUGUCUUGAGAUUAGCUUUUAGUUUCUUAGAGAUGAGCUUCCAAUUGUCUUGAGACGAGAUUUUUAUUUUUGUAGAAUUAUAUUAUUUUGGAAAUGGGAUUUAAAUUGUUUUGACAAGAGCUUUCAAUCUUUCCGGUGAUACGCUUUUCAAUUUUAUAUAGAAGAGGUUUCACUUCCAAAUUUUUAAUGUUGAGUUUUUUUGUUUUUUGUUUUUCUAGAUGAUUUUUACUUGCUCUUAUAUAUAGGUAGGAAGGUUUUAAUUUUCAUCUCCUUCGAUGAGGUUUUAAUUAAUUUGAGAUAUGGUUUUAACACAAGGUUUCUCAAUUCCUUAGAUAGACUUAAAAAGUAUUUUCCAUUUAAAUAAGAUUUAAUUAUUCUCCUGUGAGGUUUUAAAUUUUUAUACGAGCUUCUUAAGUUGUGUGCUUCCAAUAUAUUGUUAAUACUAGCUUCCGAAAGCGUUUUUCUUCUUCUUCUUCUAGUUGGUGCUAGUAAGUAUGAGACAAGGUUUAAAGUGUCCUUGGAGUAGGGUUGUAAUUCUUCUUCGAUAUGAGAUUCGAGAUUCCUUGACACGAGCUUCGUAUAGACAAAAUAUUGGAAUUUCUAUAUUCGGUUUUUAAAGUUUGAAAAAAUAUUUGUCCUUUAAAUUUUGAAUAUUUGUCACGAGGACAUAAGAAGUUUGAUAUAUGUGUUUUAAAACCUCACCGAUAUGAUUUGAAAGUGUCUAGUAUUUUCAAUUGAAAGUGUUAUUCCCCACCCGUUUGAUUCCCUGAAAACCACUCUCCCAAAAAGGAAAGAGAUGAAAAAAAAGCCCAACAGCAGCACUUUUCUGAAAUAAAAAAGGGAAAAGCCUGAGGUCGGCUUGCAGUUGUUGGGCUCUAUAGCACGAGGCCCAGCGCGUGGACAAAAUCGAGCACGCGCGAGCAUGGGAACCAGGCUGAGUGCUGGACGGAAACGGAAAAAAGGGAAAUGAGGAAAGGACGCGGGAUGAUCGAGCGCGCGGAACUGCCUGGCCGGGACGAGCGGGAAUCAACGCGUGGACCACGCUGAUCCCGGUAGGAAUUGUCCGCCCAAGCGGGAUCUGGCGGAGCUCCGCCAAUUAGCUCCGCCCCAUCCAUUGUUGACUGUUUAAUUGUAAAGAAAUACCUUUUGGUGAUAUAGGGGAGCAGUGAAGGCAUGAUUCUAUUGAAGUCGCACCAUGUCAAUUUUUUGUCACAGUCAAAAAUGUUUUUAUCAUGCUAAUACUAUUUACGAACUCUAGUUCAUUUUUUUUUCAACAUCGGGCAACUCGUGGUUAAUCAAAACCUUGAUCGAUAUUUUAGCAAAUCAAAUUUUUGGCACAACACAGUUAGGCCCCAACCAAACAUACCCCAAGAUCCAAACCUUGGUGCUUAGGCAUAGACGAGAGCGUUUUUUGUUUUGAGCGAAAUAGACAUGAGUGCUUAAAACAAGUUGGUUGUGGUAGCGUGUACUCCCUCUGACCGCAAAAGACUGGACGUUUGGUGUUUUCCAAGGGAAUUAAGAAUUUUGUAGAAAAGCCCCUCCUCCCCUCCAUUACUCCAUGCUUCGAUUCACACAACAAUUAAUACUGCACACUCCACAGCAAUUGCAAGUAAAUACUUCCCGCCACCGCCACAGCCACAGCCGUACUACUAGUACUCCCGUUAGAUUACAAUUAGCAAUGCAAUUAGCUUGAUUUCUGUCUAAUUACAAUUAGUACAAAAAUUGUGUCCUGCACACAUCUCGAGUCCACAAUAAACAAAAAGAACAAAAACCAGCAUGCUCAAAAAAGCCCAAAAAUAGAGCAACUCCCGGUCUCCACGCUAAAAAGAGAGCACCUUCCGGGCUUCCAGGCCUCCAGCAAUAGCAGGUCGCUCGCGCGCACAUCCGGAGAGACUUGACCUUCGAGGACGAGGUGCACCUGUCGAUAUCUUCUUCCAGUAAUCUUUCCAUUCCACAACAAACUUCUCCCGACUUCUGCUUAAAAAAAGAACAGACCCUUCCAACUCUCCAUGCUAGAUUAACGUUGUUUUGAACUAACGUUACAUAAAUCCCAGAUCGCCUUGCAUCCAGCGCUAGGUCCAGACUCGAUCCCGAGGAAGGAGAUGAACUGCACUGUGUUCAUUCUCCAGCUCCACUCUAGACCGUUGUUACUGUAUGCCAGUAGUAUGUGACUACACAGUUGAUCAAAUCCAAGUCCUGAUAAGGCAUGCAUGUACUUCAGUGAUUCGACGCAAAUGCAUAGGAAUAAAGAUUCAAAACGUGUAUGUUGUCACGUCACGACAACGUACUAAAAGUCCAAAACGUGUGUGUGUACUUUUUGUGAGUCACUUCCAAAUGUACCCGCUGAGAAAUUCAGAGAUUGGACAACGCUGAAGGAAUAUGAUACCUUCAAAAUUCAGUACAGCGAUCCUCAAUCGCCAUCUGUUGUUACUCCCUGCCUCCGAGUACUAAUUAAGCAGUAGAUUGCAAACUUGUCAAGAAAAUUCUAUAUGCCCAUAUCGAUCUACGAAGAAGCAGUCAGAGUACCGUGAGCCAAUUGGCCCAAUUCUGACCUCUGACCAUGUAUGCCAAGACCUCUGAAUUGUCUGACCGAUUAGCAUCUCGUAGUAAGGAGUACUACACAUCCUGUCACUUGGGCGAUCUUGGUGCCAUGACCGCCGUGGACCGCCGCGUGGGGCCAGCCUCGACGUCCCCGUCCUCUUUCUUCUCCCCAACCACCGCGGCCUCCUCCUCCUCUUCCUCCGCCUCCGGCGAGGGCGCCUCGAGGUCGUCCCGGACGCGAAACGAGGCGUGGAGCACGACGAGCGGGACGCCGACGCCCAACGCAGCCAUGACAGAAGAGACGGCCCCAGCCGCCGCGAGCCCCGCGAACACGAGCACGGCGAGGAUCACCAUGAUCCGCCGCCGGAGCAGAGCCGAUCCCGGGAACGACUGAGCCGGCCCGAAUUUAAGGCACCCGAGGAGGAGGAGGACGCCCUUGGAUGCCGCCAUGAGGGCGAGCACGCACGACCGGUGCCCCGUGGCGGAGAGCGACGCCAGGAGGAGCGCCCACUGCAGCGCGGCGUAGUGGGGCGCGAAGGUUCGGAGGUUCCGUACGGCGCGCACUGCCGCGGCCUCCGCGUCCGCCGCCGCGGAGAACGCCGAGGCGCCCGGCGCGAACCGCGACGCCGCCCGACGCGCGGCCCGGACGCCCGCGACAGCCCUGUCCAACGCCCGCCGCGCCGCGCCUGCCCCGGCGCCCGCGACGGAGGCGGCCAUCGCGGUCAUUUCGGCGGCGAUCGCUUGCCUCGAUUCGCGGCACCCCGGCUGCUGCGUUUUAAAAGACUUGAGAAGACUCAGGAGAAGAGAGACGGGGCGCCGAUGGGGCGGGGGUGGAGCGAGUCAAAGACGCGGGGGUUUUAACGGACGUAGCGCGCCACGGGCCGUACGUGGUGGCGGAAACCGGGGCUUUUCCACUCUUGUGCCGCGUCGAUUUUUCUGCCGCGGCAGCGACCCGGCCCGGUGGCGCGGUGGUGGUUCCCCGAAUGUGUUUGGCCGACGGCCACCACCAUUAUAAUUCCACCAACGUCCUAGUGCUGCAUAUGCGUAGUUUUGUUUUUUGUUUUUUCCUUUCCCGUACCAGCUAGUAUUGCAAGUUCGAAAUGCGACUCUAUGAACAGAACAGGCAAAAAUCUGCCCAGGUGAAGCUGCGCGGAGGAAGAGAACGGGCUUCUCUGAAUCUUGGUUCAGUUGCAACUUGCAACAACGAAACAAUUAUUGGCGUUUGAUCCGCACGCGGACCAAUACGCUGCGGACUUGUUGAAUUCAUACUCCAUUAGUUUGCGUUGGAUACAUAUGUUAUCCGCAACUUUUCUGACGAUGAUUAAACAAAGGGGGCUGGUUGGUAUAUUGCUUUAGUUGCACGAUGAAAAUCUCGGAAAAGUUCGUACGGUGAUAUUUCCGUCUAGCUAAACCUAGGUUCAACAAAAAAAAUAUUACCUCCACCAAACUAGUCUCAGUACCAAAAUUGAAAAAAAACUUUUUUAGUUCAAUUUUGUACUAAAACAGCGACAAGAAUUAUGAGACGGAGGGAGUAGUAUUCAGUUAUCAAAAAAUUAGAAAACCUUAACCGCCUUAAAUUACAUGUGGGGGUAAGUUUUAGGGAAGCAUUAGAGUGAUUCUCCCCUAGCUACAGAAGCCAUUGAGGGAGGCUAAAAAAACGAUUUGCUCGAUUUGCUUCACAACUCAUGAAAAAAAAAGGGAGUGUCUAUUUCUCAGACGCAUAAGAAUAGUUAUUUUUCAGUCAACAAUCGUAGCCAUCUAAUGAAGUUUUUCUUAUUCAUCGGACCUACAUUGAUGUUACACAAAUCUCACUGAUUGAAUCAAAUGGUUGUUACUAUCGACUAUUUCUAUUUCUUAGUCGUCUGAGAAAUAUCAAAACCGAAAAAAAAGAUUUGAUUCCCUUAGCCUGACGUGUCGCGUUUCUCAAGUUUUGAUACUAUAAACGAGUUCUUGAGGAAUGAUUUUUUCCAUCGCUAAUAUGUUCCUUACCAUGUGACCCUUUCUUAAUUAGAACCCCUACGUACCAGCAAAUCAGAAAUAGCAUUUUUAGGGCCUCCAUAUCCCUAACCGGCACCAUGGUACUAGCCCUAAUUGCUAAUUAUGCACAUGAAACGUUGUUGCAUGCUCUUGCAGCUACACCACAAUGCCUUUGAGGUCUUGACUUAACGACGAGGAUCACUAUUCACGGGAGAAGGCUGAGAGCUGCCGUGUGAGUGAUUCUUUUUUUUAGGGGGUACCGUGCGAGUGAUAGGUGAUAGCAAGAGGCAGAUGACAAAUACACAACUACGCAAGCUCAGCAGCGCGGGGGAUCAAUGACUUCUUCUUUUUUUAGCGAAGGGGGAUCCAUGACAACCGGCCUGAAACAAGAGACAACCCUAGGCCCAGGGAACAACAAUAUCGGCCCCAAAAAAAGUGGAGGCAUGGUUUUAGAGCCUUAGGCCCAAGAGAUGCAAACGUGCGAGUCUUGUUUUGUUAAAAUAAAAAUCGUCAGUUCUGAAACGAAAUAAAUUAUGUGUCUUGUGAUUUCGGUCGGUACCAAGAUGUCUAUAUCUUGAAAUUUUUCAUCUAAAUUCAAAGUAAGUUUACAUUUUGUCAAAAUAUGUUGUACAUUGAUGGAAUUUGUACGAGAUACUCAUUUUUUGGUGAGGACCAAAAUAUGUUUGUUACCGAAAUAUUAAGCCCUUUCCCGUGCAAGUCCAAGGUGAAUAAUGUUUUUUUAUUUCCUCUGGCGCAGGUUAAGUGACUCAAAUUUAUCUUAAUAUAGAUGUAUAUUUAUAUACUGAAAUACGUUAGAUACAUGUAAUAUUUCGACACUUAAUAUGAGACAUAAGGAGUAUAUAGUACAGUUGAUAAGAUUGGUUGGUGCAAGGCUUAGCAGGGGCUUAGUUAGAUGGGAUCAGACUUAAGAGUGUCCUUUCCUCCCCCUCACUCUCUAACUUCCACUCCAUCAUUAGAAAAGAACAUAUGUAAGCCCUUUACUUAAACAUGAUGAUUAGCAUCUGAGGAUGCGAUGCCAACAUGCAUGAUCCAACCUUUUACCUUCCUGGUUAGGAUAAACUAAUCCCCCUCUCACAUGGAUGAGAGGCUGGAACAGUACGGAUCCCAUAAAAUGCGGCUAUUAAAUCCGAAAAGGGCAAAACAAUCGAAGGAAAUUCCUGACAACUGGACCCGGAGAGGGGACACACCAACAACGUAACGUGCCAAGAUGUCGCUCAUGUGCCUUGUUGUGGCCUGGGCAUAUUCCUUCGUCUCCAGUCUGCAGCCAGUACCUAGCAUAGAUAUCUUGAUUUCAUCCGAGCUAGCAAAUAGAAACAACAUGGCCCGAUCAAUCUGAUGGCGCAAAAAAUGAUCAAACCUAUACGGGUUUGUCGAAUUUUCAUCCGCGACCGUUCUUUCAAAACAAUAUCCAUUGUCUCUGUAUUUGAACCCGAAUUCAGAUAUAUCACAGGAUACGAGAAGACUAAACACCCGGACACCCCCUCUCUAUCUUAAAAUCUCUAUAUCUGUGGAGAGAAAGAGAAGCAUGAAAGUGAAAACCAAUGAUGGAUUGUUGGGAUCACAAAUCACAUGCAUGCAUGCUCGUCCGACGUGAGGAGCAACGUGUGCACGCGGCCUAGCUGUCUCUUUUGGCGACCGAUUCAGAUGUCUCUGCUCGUCACACACACACACAAACAUGCCAGAUUCCGAUGCUUCCCUCUAUUUCCUUCUGAACGAAACGAUCUGCUAUUCCUGGCGACAAGUCGGGUACAAAAGUCCAACUUUCUAAUUUUCGUUGGCCGUAUAUAGAAUUAGCGAGCAUCGUCGAUUGCUCGAUUUAGAUAUCAAAAUGUAUCAGCUCGGCGGCUUAAGAGAACUAGGCGUUCCCCUUCGAUCAAGUUACCCGCUCCGAUAGUUACACAUUAUUCACUGUCAUGACACACAAUCUGAUGGGUGUGAUCGAUCAACACGGAAAUCCACACGAAGAAAAAUACCAGCUGGAUUACUUACCGUCUCGGACACUUCGUCGAUAAUUAGGCGAGCAGCCGAGUAGGAAUACUAGCUGUCACACCCUGGGCCCUGGCACGUAAGUACGUUGCACGCGGUCGCGACGGGAUUUGCCGGUGGCGGCACACAGACACAGCCCACACACGAAGAGAGAAACGAGCUUGGCGUGCGGAACGCCCUAAUUUGGACCGGCACGCUCUGCCUAAUCGCUGGAAAUCGACCCGAUGCAUGGCACCAGAAUAUCUGCCGCGGCACGCGCCUUUGAUUAGCUCCGGACUCCGGAGGCUGCUUUGGUUCCUUGGUUGGCUCCGUACGGUAAAAUGCAUCACAGGCCACCGUAUUUAUUUUUUUGCGAUUAAUAAGGUCACCGUAUUUGUGAGCAAAGUUCACUUUUUCAAAAAACAAAUCUAAUCUUCUAAUAUCUAAUUAAAGUAGCAGAAAUUCUACGGUCCAGAUUUUAUAAAAGUUAUCGUAGGGACUAGAUUUGUCCAUCUAUCUAGAUUUUAACAAAAGCUACCGGUACGGACUACGCAGAGUAUGAAAAGAAUUCGUAAUGCAAUCUAAUCCGUACCAAUCACGAUGAUACAACCUCCAAGGCAAGCACGAUUGAUCUCCCCUUGAUCUCUCUGCCCCGGAUUCAAUCUGGCUCCCACCCCAUUGUCGGCCAUGCCGCGGGCGACCUCGGCCACCUGCCGCUCGCUCGUUUGUGAAAAAGACACAAACCUAUUAUAAAGGCUCACCAGAAAUACAAAUCAAAACUCAAACUUUGUAUCAUGACCUUUUUUAAGGGAGUAUCAUGACUUUUGAUGACAUAUCAAAGUAGGAGUACUCACAUGGCAUACAUUCAUUUGCGUGACAUCAAAUUUUGAACGACAACAAAGAUUCAGGAUAAAGCCGAAAAUUACAAAAACAACAACUUUGAAGCUAACUUCUCUGUCUGCGUCAUUUGCAUCUUCACUCGGGUGACGAAAUGCAGAAAACCAAACACACAAAGGAUGGAGUAAAUCUCGUAGGUUUUAUAGAGCAGCACACCUCAACAUGUGUGGAUGCUCGGGUUUCUGAUGUUUUGCUUGGUCAGGCCCACCCGUGUAUCGUAGCAGGUAUCGCUACUGAUUGUAACCCCGUUCAAUGAGUAAUAAAGCUCCUCUUUCCCUGCAAAAAAAAACAUGUGAGAACUAAGAUGGUUCAAUGUGUUGUGGCUAGGGACACACCUCUCGCAAGGCAGAUUGUCAAACCGUUGAACCAUCAGCGAACCGAAAGAUGACAAAGAUCAGGAAUUUACAAGUUACAAGAUCCACAAAUUUCAUGGAGUAGAACCAUCAUAGUCACAGUAAAACGGGGUUGGAUGCCGCCACCGUCAAGGACACAGAAAAACUUCAAACUAGCGAAGGUGCCAAAAUUACAGGGCAGACAUUAAUCAAUGGUUUCCUUUGCCACUUGAUGCCGAAUAGUUUGCCGGAGGCGAGGAAACCUCGUAGAGAUUGGAGAGAUGGCAUUUUCUCCGAUGGCUAGGAUUUUCUUCUCCAGUGAUAUUGGUACCAAUUGUACCAAACCAUCCCAAAUUAAACCCUAAACCCAUGCUUGUAACAAACCCUAACCAUUUUAACCGGGUAUUCUUUCCAAGCCUCGCCGGUGGCCGUCAUUGCCAUUGCACACCCUUCAUGUUUGCACCUCGAUGAAUCUCAACCAUCGCUAGGUUGAAGAAGUUCUAUUGAUCGAGAUCAAGAAAGGAGGCCAUCCAAAAUGCUUUAAAAAAUGUUACAUCAACCCUACAUGUUGUAACUAGAAAACAAAAUAAAUCACCCUAAGUACAGCCAGGUGCCGCUAGCUAUACGUUAUCGCCGCCGACAAAAUCCACCUGUUCGCGGACGAGCAAGAAAUUCUCCAGCCCUUCGUUCCUUCCCCGGAGUAAUCAUGCCAACCAAACAGCAAAUAUCUUUUUCUUUCUUCAACCUUCCUUCCUCCCUUCCCCUCGCGUUUUCAACUUUCCCUCCCUUUAUAACCACCUCCACCACCACUCCUCCCUCCCGCUCCCUCUCUCUCUCCGUCUCCGAUCGACCGACGACUUGGCCGGCCACGAAUAAGAUGAUGGCGGCGGGGGAUCAGGAGAAGCAGGCGCCGGUGCCGCGGGUGGUGUCGAUCCUGUCGGCGCUGCUGGAGCGCGUGGCGGAGCGCAACGACGUGGUGGCGGCGGCGCCGGAGAAGGAGAAGAAGGAGGAGAAGGCGGUGUCGGCGUUCCAGGGGCUGACGAAGCCGGCUAUCUCGGUGGGGGUUUACCUGGAGCGCAUCUUCCGGUUCGCCGGCUGCAGCCCGUCGUGCUACGUCGUGGCCUACAUCUACCUCGACCGCUUCCUCCGCCGCCGCCCCGCCCUCGCCGUCGACUCCUUCAACGUCCACCGCCUCCUCAUCACCUCCGUCCUCACCGCCGUCAAGUUCGUCGACGACAUGUACGUAUUCUGUACAUCAUACGCAUCAUCCAUCUAUCCAUCCGAUCCAAUUACGGCUGAAUUAGCUGUGCGUGUGGUUCCGAUGGAUUAAUUAGCAAGUUUGUUGACUCUAGCAGAAAAUUUGGAGCUCAUGUCUACUAGUAGUUUAAUCAGUUCAUAGUUGAAUUCCGCUUAUCUGAAGGAACAAACACAACUCUAUAAGUCUAUAUCUACAUUGAUCUUGUCUCAGUUAGUGAAAUUAAAUCGAUCGAUCUGCCGACUGCCGGACAAACUAAUCCAAGCACAAUUGAGGCGGUUUACUGCAGCAUGAUCGCAUAAUUGAGUUUGUUAGAAUCAAAUUGUUGUAGCUUGGGUUCUGAUCUGAUCUGACUUUGCCCCCACUUUUAAAUAAUCGUGACUAGAAGACGCAGCCCCAGCAUGUGUGUGCCAAACCAGUAGUAUUCCCAACUGGCAUGGCACCAACAAAAGCCAAGCUAGCCUUGCCGUUUAUAGCUGGUCACGAGAACAGCUGUCCAAUUCGAGGCUGAUCAUGCGGCAAUGCACAAUUCGCCAUUGUUAUCCCAGCCGCUCCUCAAAUCUACCUAUAUAGUAAUUCAUUAUUUUCUAGUAAAAAAUUAGUACUACUAGUACGUACCUUACGAAAAUCUUGAUGCCAAAAUGCGACAAGCUUUUGCGCGUUCUGGAAAAGAAAUCUGAAAACUGAAAUAUUACAAUGCAGAUGCUACAACAACGCCUACUUCGCGAGGGUGGGAGGGAUCAGCUUGAUGGAGAUGAACUACCUGGAAGUGGACUUCCUCUUCGGCGUCGCCUUUGACCUCAACGUCACGCCGGCCACCUUCGACUCCUACUGCUCCGUUCUGCAGGCCGAGAUGGCCUUCCUCGACCACCCGCCGCCUUCGCCGGUCGAUGACGUCUCCCCCGCCUUGUUGCAGCACCAGGACCAGGUCGACGCUGGCCGCCACCGCCACGAGCAACAGCAGCUCACUGUCUGACCGAUGGAUCGAGCUUGCUAGCUAGCUCCUCCUUUUUUGUCACCGUGGUGUCGUUUCUAUCUUGGCUUCUUUUUUUUCCCUUUUCUUUUUUUACUGUUCUUGGUACAUAGAUGGUGGUUAGUUAGGACGGAUCAUCAAAAGACGCAUUUCGCCAUUGUUGGAAGCAUCAAUCAUGAAUGGAAGCAUGGAUCAGAUUGGGAUUGUGAGAGCAUUGUUAAAAGGAGAUGCCUGCUUACCUGUGCGCAUGUGAGUCACAGCACAGCACACACUUGCUUGCUUGCAUGACUCCUGUUUGUUUCUUUCCCUCUGCUUUUUAUUUUCCUGCUCCUUUUCCACUUUGUGGAUCAAAUUAUUCGCCGAAAAGAUGGAUGGAUUGAACGUCGUGGGAUGGACUGGAGAACAACAAUUGGGUCACUGCUCUGAACAUGCCAUGUUUCUUUCUUGAUUGCCUAUCUAAAUCUAUGCAUCGCUUGCAUGGUAUAUGCACAAUUGGGACAAAAUUGACCAUAUACCAGAAUUCUAAAGAAAAUGACACUCCGGGGUUCCAAUGGAUAGGGGCCGGAAAACUCUGAUUCAAUGAACACAGCAAGCUCUGCUAAAUUUAGGAGCAAAAGUAGUUGAAGUGGCACUCCUUCAGUCUGAAUCUGUCAGUGGGAUAUUCAGUCAGAAACGUCACUAGUCAGAGGAAAUGACCGCUGUGGAAAGAUUAAGCAGCAGCACUGUGAUUUAAUUUUGUCUGUUCUACCAUGCAUGUACAGAAGCAACAAUGUUUCAUCUCCAGACUUGAAUUCUGUCUUGGUGUGACAGCUUGCCAUGUAUGCAGUUACCGCAAAUAAGAAGAUCAGAGUUACUGCAGCUGUUGCUCCGGGAAUACACGCAGUGCCAAAUUUUACAUGGGAACUCCAAUACAGACAGACAAAGUAAGAAAAGAAAAAAUUGCAAUGCAUGCAAUGCCCGAAAGGCAAGAAGCAUCUUCGAGGUAAAGAUGCAGGGAGAUCAGGAAAUGUCUGCAGGGAGAUCAGGAGAUGUGGUGAUGAUCAGGAACAGAACAUCAGAUGCUUUGUAUAUUGUGAGAGGUUGCCAGUGAAAAAAUUUAUACAAGGAUGGAUCAGAACGUGGUGUGCAUGUAGAGGUAGGCCUAGUGGUGGCGCCUUUUGCGCUGUAGUAAUAUAUAAUGCCUUUGGCCUUAAUGCGGCGAUGAGCUGGAUUAGAACAUGGUUGGUCACAAGAAAUCCGCCAGGAUAAGAUGAUACCAAGAGGAGAGGGUAGAUGAGUACCUCCGUACAAGUUUGUACUGUUUAUCUUGAUGGGAAAUUACAUGCGUUGAUUCUCAAUUGCAGUCAUAUUCGUCGACUGAAAUAUGUAAUUUAGGCAAGACUUCUACAUACUCUUCAACAAAUUCUUAGGCAAUUGCAUGGGAUGUAAUUUGGGAGCAGUGUGUCCCUGAGUAAAAAAUAACCAGAAGAUCUCCAUGCAUAUUGUGGCAAUUGCCUACAAGUAUAUUUCCUCUCGGUCUCUAGACGUGUAUUGAGAAUUGGCAUGUGGGCACUAGCUCGCUCAACCAUGCAUGUGAUGUGCCAAGGCCAACUAGUGGCAAUUGGCAAUUGAACCCUGUGAAUCCUUCCUAUCCUACCCUACCAGAUGCAUGGGGAAUCUGAGGCCUAAAGAAUCACAGGAACCAGACUAUUUGGGGAUCGACAGUGAUGCAUGAUUCUUUGGGCAUCUCUUCCUUUCUUUUCAUAAAGACUUCCAUUUACUUUGGUUGUUCCCCUGUGAAAUAGGGGUGGAUUUUUGGUUCGGAGCUGCCUUUCCACUUUGGUACCCAUGCAUAAGUCGCGUGCGUUCCUCUACUGUGCAUUUGUGCUACAUGUUGUCAUGUUCCGAAAACUCCAUAAGCUUUUGUCUUUCUCACCUUCUAGAUCAGUUCAAACUGAUAACUUUACCACAUUUGACGGCACAAUAUGAGCUUGUCGGUGCAUGAAACUAUGUACCCCCAAUUUUAAGUACCUUGUUGGGGUAGGCAAUGAGAACCUUACAUAUCAUGAAUCUGCUGUCAAGCAAGCCCUUGGACAUCGUUUUGUGCAAAGACAAGUUGACUCUCGAACAGUGACAUUGUGUCUAUAAGCAAUUAGUAGUAUGUUAGCAAUGGGUUUUACUAUCACUGGUAUCCAAUAGGUCAUCGACACGUGGCGUGGAAGGCAUAAACACUCGCACAUGUGUGUACCUUAAGCUAUGCGGGGUGACCAGCUCAGUACAAGCUACAAGGUGACAAAAAGUGCCCUGUCAUUUAUGCUUACGGAUGGCAUAUGUUUUCCUAAACAAAUCUGCCGGCACUUACCAAUAGCACUAGUGUCCUUAUUAGUGAAAGUGUCAACUGACAACUGUGACAACUAACCCUGACUCAACAGUGGGUUCUGUUCAAUACUAUCCUAACAUUGUUGGGUAAAACGGGUUUAGUUAUCCUAUCACAAUGCUUUUUCAAUGCUAGUUGCAUAAGACUUUAUUAACCCUUGAGGUUCCAAAUGUAAGUAGGAUGCAUAAAUCCAAAUAAUGAGGUUCCAAAUGUAAGUAGGAUUCAUAAAUCCAAAUAAUGUCAGGUCCGGCCAUCAUUGCGUCAUUUUUUUUUCUAGCUUGGACCUACAAAUUUUGCAAACAUAUCCAUCGUUGAAUAUGCUUCAAACUAAUUACACACUAGCCCACAUUUCUCUCUUGGAAGUGUAGAACAUAAACAUAAGACAAGUGCUAAACAUGUUUGUCGCAUCCACAACCUCGGUAGCUGGUGUGGAGUGUGUUUGGUAGCCAGGUGGGCUUGUGGUGUCAUAGAGGUUGUCUCUUCGCGACGGCUCUUAGGAGUUUAUAACGGUUUUUCUCCGGUUUUUCGUUAAUUAACUGGACAUCAAAACUUCUUAAUUAAUGAGAUGAGGUAAAGUUGUCGCCUCCAUUUCGAAAAAAAAACUUCGGCUCCAUCAUCUUUAGUGCUAUUGUCUCGUUGCAGAUUUGUGCACUCCUUUGUCGUCUUCCCUCUGUCCUCUUGCACCGUGGAUAGAGGCGAGCUCUUUGCUUCCCCACUGGCUCCCGGGUUUUGUCUCUCACCCAAACUAACACAUACUCAUUCCAUUCAUAAAUAUAGAUGUUCUACUUUUUUCCUUAAGUCAAAUUUCUUAAAGUUUGAACAAGUUUAAUUUUUCACCAACAGAUAACUCUAAAUUAGUCCAUGAAUUAGUCUAUUAAAUUCGCCAUGAUAUACAAUUUAGAUUUUAGUAUGUUUAUAAACUUGGUCAAACUUUAUGAGGUCUGACCUGAAGACAAAUGUAGAACAUCUUUUCUUUAGGAACAGAGGUAGCAGCGGUUAAAAAAUCUUUUGUCAUUUUUCAGAAUGAAAACAUUUAUCUUUAAAUUUUUGGAGAGUAGUUUUUUUUUACGUUGAGUUUUUUUUUUGAGCGAAUUUUUUUGCGUUGAGUUGGCCAUCGUUGCAUUGCCACUUACCUUUCUGCACCGCCACUGCGACGCCUAGACGCCCCAGCCUAACUAGGGCCCAAACCGGAAGUAAAGCCCAGCCCACUACCAAAUUUUGGCCUGCACGCGGCGCAGGCAUGCGAGAGCCCGUGAGAGAUGAAACCGCAAAGUGCACCCAGAGUCCCAGAUCUCGUGCCCCUCCCCGUCUCCCCUUCCUCCCCCCACUUGUAAGGUCUUCACGCCUGCCGCUGCAGUCCACGCCAAACCCUAGCCGUCAUCGCCAUGGCCGACCCCGCCGCCGCCACUACAGAGGUCGGGGCACUCGCUUCGCCUCCCCCGCCGGCCGUCGAGGAGGACGAUGCGCCGGAGGAGGAGGAGGCCGUCCCGGAGGUGAAGAGGUGGCCCGGGUGGCCAGGGGACAGCGUGUUCCGGAUGGUGGUACCGGUGCUGAAGGUCGGCAGCAUCAUCGGGAGGAAGGGAGAGCUCAUCAAGCGCCUCGUCGAGGAGACCAAGGCCAGGGUCCGCGUCCUCGACGGCCCCGUCGGCGCCACCGAGCGCGUUGUGAGUACCCACGAACUUACCGCAGCGAGCGGUCGAACAUGCUUAGAUUUUGUUUUUAUUUUUCCUGAUGCGAAUCCUAUGUUGAGGAGUAGUUGGGAACUGUAAUACCCGAAGGUCAGAUUGUUUAGUUAUCAUGGAAUUGCUGUUCUUUUUCUGUACAUGUGCAACUCGUGCCAGCAUGUUACCGUCGGUCGCUGGGGUCUUGGUAAAUAGGUUUGGUGGUUGUUGUGCUUUGACAUAAGUUCACUAUGAGAUUAAUUGUGCCAGCAGCGGUGGGAGUGUCUGAAUUUUCAUGCAUCUGACGCGUUAGGCUUUUGUUGUGCUGAAUUUUACCUACCAGGUAGGUGUGUCCUAUCUUGGGGAGGUGGGGAUGUGAAAAGACAGGUUGCAUUCACAAUGUUUUCCUGAAUAGGCAGUUUGGGUUGUUUAGUGCUGUACACAUAGAAUUGUUUCAUGUGGCUAUUCCGUUUACUACAGUAUAAAUGGAAAUUCGUUUCUUUCAGUAGAUAAAGCUGAACGAUGGACUCUCUCUAUGUUGUUGGUGCCCUUAGUGAAUUUAAAUUCGUCAGUUGGCGCCUCCAUUUAUUAUUCUUUCAUAUCUGCGCACUUGUUGAUAACAGUAUACCUGAUGCUCUCCUUUGCAUCCAUUGACUAAAUCAUGGCUCUAUGAUAUUCCAGGUUUUGGUGUCUGGAAAAGAAGAACCAGGCUUGGACCUGCCUCCAGCUAUGGAUGCUCUGAUUAGAGUUUUUAAACGUGUUAAUGGAAUAACCGAUGUAGCUGCUGACAGUACUACCCAGACAGCUGCUCCACCUGGUGUAUGUGCUGCGCGAUUGUUGGUUCCUGGAGCUCAAGCAAUUAACCUCAUUGGGAAGCAAGGUGCUUCAAUUAAGGCAAUCCAGGAGGGCACGGGUGCUACAAUACGGGUUAUAUCAAUAGGUAAUAUACUGUGGGUUGGUGCAUAGUAUUAUUAAUUCGCCAUUUCUUUGGUACAUCAGUUGAUCAUCUUGCUGUUGGAUUCUUAAUCUUAUAUUUAUCUGUUCCAAAUUGAUGCUCAUAAUUCGUAGCAAGGUUCUGUUAGUUCCUUGCUGCAGCACCAAAAAAUUUCCAAUACUUGAUAGUAUUUGGCUGGCCUUGGGAGAAAAAUAAUUCUUUGGAAGUCUUCCGUUAACACACUUUUUUGUAUGCUACUGAUGAUUUUAAGAGUAGUCUGAAAAUGUGUAAAGAGCUCUACUCUGAUCUCUAUUACUCUCUCUGUUCCAUAUUAAGUGACUCAAAUUUGUCUAAAUAUGGACGUAUCUAUGUACUAAAAUACGUCUAGAUACAUGUAAUAUUUCGGCACUUAAUAUGCGCGGAGGGAGUACAUGUUUCUUCUUGCAUGAAAGAAUGUAUUUUAUUCUCUUGGUCAUAGAAGAGAAUGGAAUUGAACAAAAUUUAUACUAGCAUAGAACAUUAGAAUAGAAAUUCUAAAUUUCUUCUUUCUAGAUGUACAAAAAAUAUGAUGCACUUUAACUCUUUGAGGACAAAAAGGGCUAUGCUUUUUGUGCUAUUAUUUAAUAGCUCAAUAUUCUUUUAGUUUCAAUUGCAUUGAAAAUGUACGAAGUCGUGAAUAAUGAUAUAGACAACUCAUGGUGGGUAUAAAUUUAUGUAGAUGAGCGAGAGCGGCCUUUCUAUGUAACUGACGAUGAAAGGAUAGUUGAGAUACAGGGUGAAACAGAGAAAGUUCUAAAAGCACUGCAAGCAGUUUCUAAUCAUCUCCGGAAGUUUUUGGUUGACCAUAGUGUACUUCCAUUGUUUGAAAAAACUGUAAGCACAUAUUUGAACUCAUGUUAUGCUUCCCCAUCAUAUUGUUUCUAAUGCUUUGUUUAUAUUCUUUUCUCAGAAUGCCCCAGUAAGUCAGGACCGCAGUGCUGAUACUUGGGCUGACAUGCCACAUCAUUCAAUUGUUUCUACACAAGUAAACCAACAACCUGAAGUGCGUGAUGAAUAUAUACUUCCAAUGAAGAGGGAGCAUCUUUAUCUUGAACGGGAACCUCUGGUAGAUCAUAACAUUCAUCGCUCAGGUGUGUCACUUUAUGGGCGGGAUCCUGCCUUGUCAGCAUUGCGACCUUCUGGAAUGCAUAGUGUUGGCCCUCUCCUUACACAGGUAUGGCAUGUCUGGAUUUUACAUGCAUAUUAUUUUGUUUGGUUUAAUAACACUUCGUGCUUGCUUUUUUCAUCAAUUGUAAUGUGCAUCUUUCAUUCCUGUUGGAUAUGCAUUGCAUCCAUUAAUCUUUGAACCAAUGACAUGAUAUUUCUUUACUUCAACUGUUGCUGAUAAGAACAAAUUAUGCGCAGAUAACUCAAACCAUGCAGAUCCCACUUACCUACGCGGAAGAUAUCAUCGGAGUGAAAGGAGCAAACAUUGCAUACAUACGAGCUAAUAGUGGUGCUGUUGUCACAAUUCAAGAGAGUUUGGGAAGCCCUGAUGAUAUAACUGUUGAAAUAAAGGGGACAUCAUCCCAGGUACAAGCCGCCCAACAGCUCAUCCAGGUAAUAAUUGCACACCAUAUCCUUUAAAAUGCAACCUUCCAACACACCAAAACUCUGAUAAUCAUGUACUCUUCCUUCAGGACUCCUUGGCUGCACACAGAGAACCUGUGAGGAGCAGCUAUGCAGGAUUAGAUCCGGUGUAUAGGUCGAGCUACUCGCAGUAUAGCAGCUCGGCUUAUCCCUCAUCAUCGCUGCCAUCUUAUUCUAGCAUGGACGGGAGCGGAUAUUCCUCAUCAGGUCUUGGUGGUUAUGGCUCCACUUAUCGGUACUAGCUGGCAUGGUUCCAAAAAGCAGUAAGCGUUAAGCGGUAGGUGAGGCCCCGAUUAGAGGAACUCAUGCUUAAGCGUGAUUAAGCGUGUUUGUACGGACAUUGUACGGACAGCUCAAAAUGAAUAUUUUCUGGCACAUAUAAUCCUAAAUUCUAUAUGUUUUUCUAUCAUAAAUCCUAAGCAUGUAAUCUAGGAAGAAAUAAUGUCGAUCGAUACCUUGAUAUGUGCCGGUUUUGUUCCUUUUUGUUGAUCUCCAAGUCCUUUCUCCAAGAGCUACAUGCAGAUAGAACAUAAAUAUUAGCAAGCAAAGUAGCAAAUAGCAAAAUAGUCAAAUACCGAAAUAACUAGCUUUGCAAAUAUGAAUUAUAAGACCCACACAACAUAUGUACGCAUUGCAAGACAUAAAAGGUUCAAAGUUCCAUAGUGGCAAUGUGGCAAAGAUGCGAAGUCCCAAACUCCCACACAACAUAACAAAACAUAAAACACACAUGACAUGAAUGAGUAAUGAUAAUCGAAACUUGAAAGAUGGAUAGCAUUAUGCCAUCAUCUCUCUAUGCUCAAUAGCCAUCAUCAUCAUCAUCAUACUCAAUGUCAUCAUCAACCAUCUCCUCUUCCUCGGACUCAAACUCUUCUUCCUCAAGAUCUCUCACUCUUGCACUUCUACGAGGUUGGAGUUGCUCUUGUGCACCCAUUGCUUCUCCGAUAACAUCAAAAGGUAUCUCCGUAGCAGGAUGCACACUACGAUAUCCACCCUCCUCAUCUCUAAAGACAGCCAAUGCAUGAUCAUCUCCUCCUUCAAAGAGCCAUCCUUGAGCUUCGGAAGCAUUUGUGCUUAGAAGAGAAUCUGCUUUCUUCUUAUCCUUCAAUCUUUGCCUCUUGGACAUCAUCCUUGUAUUGAAUUGUAUGUAGACCAUGUUUUUGAGGCGAUCCGUUGUUAGUCUAUUUCUUCUCUUGGUGUGAAUCUACAAGUAAAAAAAAUAGUAUGAAGCAUGAAGAAUGCAAAUUGAGAGAGUAAGGUGGCUUAUUAAGUAGUUUACCAUUUCAUAGACGCUCCAAUUUCUUUCACAACCAGAAGAGCUAGAAGUCAAUGAUAAGAUCCUCAUAACCAUCUUUUGCAACAAAGGAACCUCAGUUACAUAGAGCUUCCACCAUCCAACUGAGAAAUAGAACAAAUGAACAAUUAAACUUUAAAAAAUAGCAAGCAAGUAACAUCAGCAGCAGCCAGCCAACAGCAGCAGUAGCUUACCAGGAUUGUAGUCCUCCCUUUGACAUGAAGUUGCAAGCUUCUUGAAAGGUCCUUCCAUACUUUCAUACUUCCCUUCCUCCACAUUGACCACGGUAUGAAGAUCCUCGGUAUCAUCUCCAAAGUAUUGCUCUGCACAUUUCAUGAAUGCUACGGUCAUGCUUGGAUCAAUCAAAUAUUUCUUUGUUAGCAUAUGCAUAGUAUGGAUUCAAGAGAUAUGCGGUCUUGUGCAGUGAUGUAUCAAGCCUUCCUUUCAACUUCUUGUCAAUGAUGGCUAUAGUCUCUUUGUAGUUCUUCUCAACAUCGCCAAAUGCCUCCUUGAUCUUGAUCUUUGCCUUCAACAUCUCUCCAUAAAGCCAAGCCAUGGAUGGCUUGACAUCCCCAUCAAACAAACGAAGAAGGAUCACCAAUGGCUCAAACACCUUCAAGCAAAGUGUUACUCCUUUCCAAAAGUUGGCAUCCAUCAAGGUGGCCGUUGUAUCUUUUCCCUUCUUGGACUUCACAAUUGGCAUCUCCUCCCAUGCUCUAUCAACCAUCAUAGCCCUUAGAGCAUCUGUCUUUCUGCCAAGCUUUGCAAAGUAAGGAAAUUGGAAGCAAAUCUAGUCACCCCCGGCCUUAUGAUAUCUCUCCUCUCUGUGCAUUUCCUCAUGUAUGCCAAUGUCUUGUGAUGCGCAUAGAUGAAGAUAGUGACAUUCUUUGCAUGUCAACUAUGUUCUUGAACCUUUUGAUGUUGCCAAUUCCUUGGAGCAUCAAGUUGAUGGUGUGAGUUGCACAAGAGCUCCAAAAUAUUUUUGGCCUCUUCUCAAGCAACAUCUUCUUGGCUCCCAUGUUAUUGAAAGCAUUAUCCGUACAAACUUGCAUCACAUGUUCAGCCCUAACCUCCUCAAUUGCCUUGUCCACUAGUUCAAAUAUGACUUCCACGGUAUGUGACACAUCUGAAGUCUCCUUUGACUUGAGGAAAGAAGUUCCACCACUACAAUGCAUGCACACAUUCAUGAUGCUCCUCCUCUUGAUGUCCGUCCAUGCAUCGGUCAUGAUGGUGCAUCCAAGCUUGAUCUUUUGGCCUUCACGUUCAUCUAGCAAAGACUUGGUUCUUGCAUACUCCUCACUCAACAACUUCUCACGAAGAUCAUGUUGACUAGGAGGCUCAUACCCGGGACCAAACUUUCCAAUGGCCUCACACAUUUGCUUAAACUCAUCAUUGUCAAGAGCAUUGAAUGGUAUUCCCGCACAAACACAAGGAAAAAACAGUAAGCAAUUAAAAAAACAGCAAACAAGUAAAAUUGUAAAAAAAAAACAGCAAGCAAGUAAAAUUGUAAAAAAAAAAAACAGCAAGCAUUGAAUGGAAUUGCAACAUAGAAGCAUGUGUGAGAUUCAGAUUUUACCAUGUGUAUACACCCAUGUAGCAACAUAUUUUGCAACAUCAUGAUUUCUCUCCUUAAAAAGAGCCUCAUUCAUACUUAGUUGCCUCAAAGCUUCCUCCUUGCUUGAGUUGCCAUCAAUAGGUCUCACAUACUUGUCCAUGGGGCCUAGCUUGUGCGGAUCCGAGCUUGAGCUCCCAACGGUUACUACAUUAUCUAAUACACUUUCUGAUAACGACAUGCACACCAUCUCUAAGAUCUUGUUCAUGCUGCCUUUUCUUUGACUUGGUCUCUCCAACGCGCUGAAAAGCUUUCUUGCAAUCUUCUAUAGCUUCCGGAGUAGCUUUCUUGCAUCCUCUCACAUUUGGAUCCGUAUUUGCUACGUGUUGCUUGAAGCGGUAAAUGCCUCCGGUGCUAAUAUGGUCACAAAAGUCACACUUCACCUUGUUCUCACAAUAUUUACCAUACUUCCAUCCAACAUCAUUUGAGUUACCCCUCAAUGGUGACGGUGACGGUAACUCGGCCCCCUGUGCUUUCCCUGCUUCUCCAUCAAUGUCCAUUGUACCUGCAAGUUAGGGAUCCAUGCAUGCCCCAAUACUAGGCUUAGCAAACAGCAGCAACAACAACACUUGAACACAUGAUGCAACAAGAACCAUGGACAAGAACUUGAAAUCAGAAAUCUUGAACACACAGACACACAGUCACACAUACAUGAUACAUGCAAGAAAAUAACAUACACUAGGAGGAGAGGGAACAACAAGCUAAGCUCGAGUCAUGGUCUUGUGGACGAACAGGUGAUGUGGCUCGGGGUGGCCCGAUCUUUCGAUGAGAUUGAUAACUCUCGAUUUGGGUAGGAGGUGACAUUGACGAUACGACUACGGCCUAGAAGGCAGCGCCUUAGCAAUCGAUACACCAACUCCAGAGGGUUAUUGAUCACGCGGGGACACGAUCAACCUGACCACGAUCGAAGGUCUUUGUUCCUGCAAGCAAUCGAAGAACAAGCAAUAACAAGAUAAAUAGCAGAUGCGAUAUGAAAUUGCGAGUAUACUAUAUCAAACCAAUGUCUCAACGAGACGAUAAGUUGGGGUUCCGAAAGCGGUAAAGCAGGUGGUCUAACCGACACACGCGAUUACACGAAGUAGUAGCAAUGGCUAACUUUUAACUAAACAAAACCCAAGACUCCUUAGGGGGGCUCGUGGGGUAUAUAAAGGAGGGAGAGAGAUUUUCGUCCACCUUGAGUAAGGAGGCUGAAAUCCAACUCCAUCUUUAACUUCCCUAACAAACUACAAAUCUUUAGGAAACCGAAAAACAGAUCCGUCAGCUUGUUUUGUCCGCCACGUUCAGCACACAUCGAGUCUCCUUGUGGGGCCAGAUCUGUUGGAAAGGUCUUGUAAUUACCUUUCCAACAAGUACUUGUUUGCUUGAUUUGGACUCCGGAUGCGGCUUGGGUGAUUAAAACAAAUUCGAGUCUCCUGACAGCUCGGACCCGAAUCGGAUUCAACUUUAAUUCGUGAUAUCUUUCUCUAGCAAGCUCCGAAUCAUGUGCCGUUUGAUUUCUUGGAAAGUACACUUGAAAUCCUUCCCUCUCAGCUGUAUGGAUGCUUGAUUCUUGUUGGCCCUCCCGUUCGCCUCAAUCGUAUCUCAUCUUGACCUUGGACUUGAAAAACUCGACAAGAUGCCUACGUAAUAAAACGAUACAAGAUAAUAGUAGCUCCGCCUCUUCAUAAAUAUGACAAUGAAAACAAUUACUACUUGAAUUCAUCUGAUUAUAAAUAUUUUUAAAUAUUAUAAAAUUGAGGGUACCAAAGGUCGUAUCCAUGGUUAGCAUGUCCAAAUCAUCUUCCUUUUCUUGAAAGGAAAGCCGUCCUCGGCGUCGUUUGUGCUGAAAAGAGACUGACAAAAUAGACAAAGUGUGUGCAUGGUAUAUGUAUAUGUCAUCCAUCUUUAUACAUCUCUUUUCUUGCACAAUUAAUGUUUUAUAACAAAAUCACAUGAGAUAAUUAGUAAAACAAUCAUGAUGAAUAACAUUCCGGCAAGAAGAUUGACAAUAUUGUUUGCAUUUAUAAGCGAAACGAUUUCUUGUAUUUGGUUUGCACCGCUCACCAUUACACCAUCCCAACAUUGGAGAAUAAUAAUGAAUAGUAUCCAAAUUAGUUACUACAAUAUGCUGAAAUUUAGAGCAAGUCAAAGCACUAAUAUUCAAACAAGCAUGUAAAUAACUAUUUGGCAAAUAAUCAACACCAAUAUUGGAGGUCAUAUCAAAAUGAUUAAGCAUGUGCAAAAAUUUCUUUUCUCCCAAGAGAGGAAAAUUAUCACAAGUAAUGCAAAUCUCAUGCACCAAAAGGUUAUUGUUCACAUCAUGUUGUCCAAUUAAAUGAAUCGUGUAUCCAUGAACAACAAAAAAUUUCGAAAUUGUUAACUCAUACACUUUAUCCAUUGCAUGUGACAAAUACAUGGGACUAUCAAGUGUAAUAUAACACAAAGAAUUAAUAGGUGGAUCGUUCUCAAUCACCAUGUGUAAUUAACUCGACACAACCUAAACCAAAUUUAUCUACAUCACAUGUUUGUUCCAAAACAUUAGUUAUUUCCUCACAUGAUUCAUUCUCAUCAAUAUCAAAAUUAAUAUGUGCACUCAAAUCAUUAGAAGAAUUAAUUUCAGCAGUAGGUGCACUCAAAUCAGCAUGUAAAUCAACAAUUUCAUAUGGUGCAGAAAAUUCAACAUGUAUCUCAUUUAUUUCAUCACAUGUCAUAUUUAGUUUAGGAACACAAUCAUCUUUAUCAUUACCUUGUAAGCUCAACACGUUUCUAGUACACUUUCUCUCCAAUUUCCUCUCUGCUUCACGAGCAAGAUUAAGCAAACACAAUAGAGAGUCAUAUUUUCCGUAUUCAAUUAUGUAAGAAAUAUCAAAGUUAAGCCCACAAUAAAAUCUAUCCAUUUUUCUUUGUUCGGUUUCGUCUAAACCAGACCGCAAUGUUAUAACUUGGAACUCAUGGUAGUAAUCAUCAACAGAUUUAUCAUCUUGUGUUAAACGUCGUAGCUGUGAGCGCAAGUUAUUAGCAUAAUUAAAAGGAACAUAUUUUUCUCUCAUGAUUUUCUUCAUAUCAACCCAACUGUGGGGUAUUUUCUUUUCUCUAACUAUCUCAUUCCACCAAGAUAAAGCAGCAAAAGUAAAUUUACUACUAGCAAUUUGAACCUUGCGACUAUCAAGUAUAUGGAAGCAAGUGAAUUGUUCAGUUAAAGCUAUCUCCCAAUGUAUAUACGUUUCAGCAUUAUUUUCACCCUCAAAGAAAGGUACACACAAUUUAAUGGUAUCAGAAGGAUUGUUUUGUACCGUUGCCUUAGGCAUUGUCAACAAGAGAUGUGGAGGAUGGCCGUGGUGAAAAGCACUCAUCGCGGUCACUGGAUAGCAUCGGUCUAGUUCCCAUGCUUCGUGUAAGUCCUGUCAUGGUUUGUAGAAAACAAGAAACAAAUCACAGUAAUAUGUUCUUAUCAACUACUAGGAUGUGGCUACAAGUCGCUUAGCUCUCAAGCUAAAAAUCAAGUUCUUACAAGUUCUAACCAUGCAAAACAGGAAGUUGAUGACCAACGGCGUGACCAAGCCUUCCGAAGAUUGAAUGUAUCGAUGCCUCGGUAACAAACCAACCUAGGUGUAGAAUCUGUGGAGCUUGGAGGCUUUUGUGAGUAGCAAGGAAUAGCAAAUAAAGCAAUGCAAAGUUGAAAAUAUGCUCAAUAAUGCUAGUCCUAGCUGCUGGAGUCGAUAAGAUCGAAUUACAGAAAUAAUCUAAGCCUAGAUACUGAAGAAGGUAGGAAUAGAUAGAUCAAAAGAUGGCACAACAAGUAAAUCCCUGGAAUUUUUUUUCUUUUUCUUUUUCUUUUUGUGGCCUUCUAUUUGGCUUCUUAUUCUUUUCUUCUUCUUUUUUUAACCCAGAAACUCAUGCAAAAGAACGAUCGGAAAACUGUACGUCGGUCCAUCGAAGAACAGCAAAGGCUGUAGUAAGAAAAAUUCAGAAAAAUAUGUAAAAAUAUGGGUUAGAAGCGUAUCGACACAAGCUUUCCAUCAAGGGCAAGAUCACUCAAAACGGAUGUUGGACGGUGGAGAAAACUGAAAAACACCGCGCUGCAGCGACGCCGGAAAACGGAUGCAGAAACUUGGAAGCUCCGAAAGUCCACCUUAGAAGCCGAAUUUGAGGGUCAAAGUCCUGGGCUAAGCCCUGGAUAUUUCAUGAAGGCCCUCGUCGUGUGCUUUCCAAAAAGUCCAAGUACGUCCAAAUCCAAGUUGGUAUGCAAAAGAUAUGCCCGUUUUACUGAACACGGGUCAAACCCACUCGGAAAUAAAAUUCUCCUCGGUGUAGGAUCUGAAAUUGAUUCUUUCUAUCUCUCACUUUUUUUUUUCACAACUAUCCUAACAACUUGAUCUCUAAACAAAAUUCGAUCUCCUUCCUUAUUCUGAAACAUUUUCCAAAAGCACUCUCAAUUGGACCCGAACUGGAAAUCGGUGGCGACAAAAAUUGCGAUUCAAAACGAAAUUGAUGAAGGCGGAUAUGAUGGUGGCAACAACGGAUUGAUGAUGUGGUGGUGGUGUGGCAGGGAGAUUGGCGGUGGAAGAAUUAAAGAGGAAACCUGCGUCACACGAAAAACAAGAAAACCAAAACAAGUUCGAUCUAGUAGAAAAAAAAUUGAAAAACGAUCCAAUCUAAUCCAACAACUCGACACGUUAAUGCAGCAAAGAUUCAACCAUGCAAAUACUAAUGUGAAAAUUGGAAGGCUCAGAUUGGUUCUAGGACAAGGUAACUAAUUCUAAUUUUUGUUUAGCUUUUUCUGGACGAUAGGUAAAAACAGAUGUAAACUAGGGAUAAAUUGGAAAAAUCUCACCGAGCAACCUUAAACUCUGAAACCACGUGAUGUGGCUCGGGGUGGCCCAAUCUUUCGAUGAGAUUGAUAACUCUCGAUUUGGGUAAGAUGUGACAUUGAUGCUCUGACUACGGCCUAGAAGACAGUGCCUUAGCACUCGAUACACCAACUCCAGAGGGUUAUUGAUCAAGCGGGAGCACGAUCAACCUGACCACGAAGGUCUUUGUUCCUACAAUCAAUCCAAGAACAAGCAACAACAAGAUAAAUAGCAGAUGCAAUCUGAAAUUGUGAGUAUACUAUAUCAAACCAACGUCACAACGAGACGGUAAGUUGGGGUUCCGAAAGCGGUAAAGCAGGUGGUCUAACCGACACACGCGAUUACACAAAGUAGUAGCAAUGGCUAACUUUUAAGUAAACAAAACCCAAGGCUCCUUAGGGGGGCUCGUGGGGUAUAUAAAGGAGGAGGGAGAGAGAUUUUCGUCCACCUUGAGUAAGGAGGCCGAAAUCCAACUCUAUCUCUAACUUCCCUAACAAACUACAACUCUUUAGGAAACCGAAAAACAGAUCCGUUAGCUUGUUUUGUCCGCCACGGUCAGCACGCGUCGAAUCUCCUUGUAGGGCUGGAUCCGUUAGAAAGGUCUUGUAAUUACCUUUUGCAACAAGUACUUGUUUGGUUGAUUUGGACUCUCGAUGCGGCCUGAGUGAUUAAAACAAAUUCGGGUCUCCUGACAGUUCGGACCCGAAUCGGAUUCAAUUUUAAUUCGUGAUAUCUUUCUCUAGCAAGCUCCGAAUCAUGUGCCAUUUGAUUUGUUGGAAAGUUCACUUGAAAUCCUUCCCUCUCAGCUGUAUGGAUGCUUGAUUCUUGUUGGCCUCCCGUUCGCCUCCAUCGUAUCUCAUCUUGAUCUUGGACUUGAAAAGCUCGACAAGAUGGCUACGUAAUAAAACGAGACAAGAUAGCAGUACCUCCGCCUCUUCAUAAAUAUGACAAUGAAAACAAUUAUUAUUUGAAUUCACCUGAUUAUAAAUCUUGUCAAAUAUUAUAGAAUUGAGGGUAUCAAAGGUUGUAUCCAUGGUUAGCAUGUCCAUAUCAAUAGGGGACGGAAUCCUCAAUCUGGACGGGAGUUCUGGACGGAUGGAGAGGGGAAUCAACCUGACUGGAGAAGAGGAGGGAGGGAGCCGGCUUUGGAGAUGACUGACCGGCGGCGGGAGAGGAUCUGGACCGGCGGCGCUCGGGAGAGCUGCAAUGGCGCCGCCGCCUCCUCUUCUUUGUGGUCACGAGCGUGGAGCAGCCCCCCCCCCCCCCCCCCAAUUUCCCAAUCUCCCGCUCGCCCCUUCCACGCUCAGGCACCGAUUUUUUCAGAAACGCGACGCUUUCGCGCGCCUAAGUGUCCGCUUAAAAUUAAGCGUCCCGCUUAAUCGUGCUUAGCCCUUAAACUCGCGCUCAGGCCUUAAUCGCCGCGGUUUGCCAAUGCCCUGCUGUAAGCGGCGCUUAAGCGACCGCUUUUGACAGCUUUUUGGAACCAUGCUAGCUGGCAGCCUUUUCUCAUCAGACUUGCUGCCACCCUCUUUCUGUUCCUGGUUGUGUAAAUGUCAGCAACAGCUGCUCUACUGGCUUAAUGUUCUGGGUUGGAGUCUGAUAGUAUCAUUAAUGGUUUAUAGAUGUUCUUUUUUUUUGGAGGAAGUCUAUUGUUCUAGCCUUUUUGUGUGUAACUGAGAUCUUAUGACGAUCAUUAUGUUGAAAAUGUUGUAAUUCAAUGUGUGUUCAUCUGUUGGUGCAAUAUUUUUCAUGGCGCCAGUUGAUGGGCAAAGAACCUGAUGUCAAGUAUGACAUCCUCGCCCCUCGGAAGAUACUGUGGCUUCACAACAAUAACCAUUUCAAAUUGGCCGAAGUUUUCGUGAUGUUCAAUUGAUAUUUACUUUGAUUUGAUAAUUACAUCACACAGAAACAUGUACAAUACUUGGCAUAAGGUGACGGGAUUUAAGACAAGUUUCAGCAAAAGUCAUACUCAGGGACGGAGCCAGAAAUUUUACAUGAGGGGGGCGAGUUGGGAUUAGGUGGGGGGGGGGGGUGGAAUUAGAGUCUUCAACUAUUUUAAAGUGAUGUCUCUAAAAAAUAUGACUUUUAAUGAGUUGAUUAGUACUCCCUCUUAUCCUAAAUUGUUGUCGAAAUAUUACAUGUAUCUAGACACUUUUUAAGAAUAGAUACAUCCAGAUUUGGACAAAAUUGAGUCAAGAAUUUAGGAUCAGAGGGAGUAACUCCCCCCCCUCCCCCUUUGAUCCGUCCCUGUUCAUACUCCUUCUGAUUCAUAACAAGUCUUUUGGAUUUUACUCUUUGUACAAAAUUCAAGACACUUGUUAUGGAUGGGCGUACUAACUUUGUACUACAUCAUCCAAGACAAUUAUUAUGGACGGAGGAAGUACAAAGUUCAAGUCCGGUGCAUCGCUAUAUCAUCAGCACUAACAUUAAAAGCAUGAGUUGUGUCUGAUCUGGACGAUCUCCACCUUCCAUUGCAUAAAUUAUAGCCCUAAUGAGAAUCCAUUGGAAAAGCAAACAAAAAACAUCCUAGUAAGGAAGCCGUGGCGCCAGACCGAGACGUCUGCAGCCAUGCCACUUUUCAUCUGCUACGAGCCAUCUUCCGCCAUUGCCCGCCCCUCUAUCUCCGCUGCCCCCACGGACUGACUCCGCCGUCCGUCUCCGCCCCUGCAGAUUUUUAGAUAGACAUGAAUGGGAAACUUUUUGCAUGGGAGCUAAUCAAUGAAUGAAUAAAUCAAUUUUGCUUCACUUUACUUCCGUUGUUGCUGCCUUUUGCGGGUAGAAGAGCACUGGUGGAUCUAGAAUUUCACCGCCGGGGAUGCCACACUUUACACGAACACUAUGAAGAUUUUUUUUAGUACGGAACACUACAUAAAUAUUUCAGUCCUCGCCGAAAUGACCAAAGUCUUGGAAAUUUUGACAUUAUUUUGGAUUUUUUAAUGAAUUAAUACUAAUUAUGUAAAUGGAUCUGAAUUUUCUAGAUACAUAUUUUGUACCGAAAAAUUUAGAAAAUCUAAGGGAAUUUUGACAAAAUCUUAAGCCCCGUUGUCACCAAUCAGUCCAGAAGCCGUGUCCACGAGUGAGAUAGGGUUUAUCCUUGCCGCUUGCGCUUGCUAUCCUCCGGAACAUAGAAAACAUGAGAAAUCAAUUUGUUAUUGUAGAUAUCAGUGCCUCGUUAGCUCAAAGCCAGUAUAAGUGGGUUUAGACCCGAUGGUUCAACCAUGUGAGUUACUAGUAUUUUUUUAGCAUUAAACAUUAGUGAAACUUGAUUAAGCUUAAUACUAGGAUAGUACAAAUUAGCAUUUUUGGAGCGGGUGCCAUGGCACCCCCCUAGAUCCGCCCAUGUAGAAGAGGGAUUCAGAAAUAGGACAAUUAUUCACACUGUUUGAUAUAUUUCCCUGGGUUUCAAAGGUCGAAUAAAUGGAUUUCUUUGCUUAUUUCGACAAAAUUGGACAACAUCUCUGUAGGAUCUCCAGUUAAGGGGUUCAAUGGCAUCAUCCAUAACAGAGUUUUGUAUGUAUUUUAACAUGUAAAACUUCCAAGUGCUAUAUUCUUCUGUUCCUAUCUUAACCCUCAGUAUAACAAACGCAUCCCAGAGCCUCCAGAGGGGGUCAUUAUAGCUCAAAGGUAUUUUCCCCUUUAAACUUGCAUAAUAUGCUGCUUUUAGGCGUAAGCAUGAUAUUUGUUGCAGUUUCUUCACAGAAGCAGCCGAUGUUCCCUUUGCAUGAUACUAAACCUUUUCCGGACACUUUAUCAUUGUAUGUAUACACAUUCCGUAGCAAUGCAUGAGUACCUGUCAAUCAUUUUGAACACAAUAAGUGCAUUUAUCUAACUGGAACCAUUUAAUCCAGAUUUAGCAGGGAAAAAUGCUUCCAUUGGUAUUGCUAUAGCUCUUGCAUACCAUUUAAUAUAACAACCAAGUCAGUCUCUGCGUCUUGGAGAAUGCUAUAGGACCCCAAGACAUUUCUUAAAGAUUGCCUCCCCUUCAAUUGGCAUCUUGGUAUUACAGAUUGAUUUGCUCAUGACACUUGACAUCAUAGAGACCGUGGAGGCGAGCGGCUGCUUCGGUAUGUGCGGCCGAGGAGAUGAAUCCGCUCUCGUGGUUCAUACACCAGCGGCUGCUUCGGUAUGCCUCGCGUUUUAUCUCCUUUCGCCGGUAACAGUAAUUAAGGUAUUUUGAUUACGGUUCUACCCUGACAUGAAGGUCAUCUUGCACUUUUUUGCAGGUUUUAACAUGAACAGGGAGGGCGGCGGCGGUGACACGGAGAACAAUGAGGUGUUCGACCUAGGCCACUCACCACACGACGCGCUAUUCAUCUCCAUAGUCAUCUUCUGCGUCGGGGUCGUGAUCAUCGUGACCUUCUACAUGCUCGCGCGACAUUGGUGGCGGAAGAAAGCGGCGGCCACGAUGGUUCACCCCAACGGCGACGACGGAUAGAAGGACGAAGCCGGCAACGCGUGAAGCCGACGGCGACAUGUUUAGUUCUAACACCCUUAAAGGUUAGUAAUGAGAUGGCUCGUAGGCGUUGACUAAAGAUUUGACUAUUUGCAUCGUAAGUUGAACGGAGGAUCCGAGACCAUAGUUGGAUCCAUCUUGUCUUGUCGAUUGUGCGUUUGUCAAAUUCGAAGUCCGAAAUAGUAUGUUUAGAGCACCUUUUGUGUGAGCCAUUGCGUGAGUUUAGAUUAAAAAAAAGAGAGAAACAAUACGAUCUAAACUGAAUGGGAUAAGGAAAAUCAAAAAGAAAAGAAAAGAAAGUAAAACCCCACAGUUGAAAUCUCAAAUUUCAAACAAAUUUGAAAUUUCAAUACGAUCCAUGAUUUUGUUUCGUAUCUAUCAAAUUUCAAACAAAGUUCAUUGAAAUCUCAUUGAAAUUUCACAAAUACACCAUUGAAAAUCCAAAUGUGCAAUUAUUCCAUUGGUACAUCAUUUAAAAUUUAUGUGUAUAUCAUUGAACUUUCGUCGACAAGUCAUUUGAUUGAAAUUUCGUUAGCAAUAAUCAUUUCAAUAGUAUAACAAUAAAAAAUUUGUUUGCACCAAUAGUUGAAAUCCUAAGUGCAUAAAUAGAAAAAUGACUACAGGGAUGUAGUGUGGGUUCAUUCACAAAAAAACUUAUUAAGAGGCUAAGUAGAAAACUGUCAAAUGUUUUAGUUCCGUCCAUUAGAUUCAGAUUGGAGGCUCUAGAUUGCUCCGAGCAUGCCGGUGUGCGGAAACACCUCAUGCCUCGGUACGUAGCACUUGAAUCUUCUCAGUGUAGCCUGUUCUCCCGAACGUUGAGGCUUCGAGUUUUUUCUCCUUUCCCUCCCCCAACUCCCUGGUAACGCCGCCUAAGACUUCUUCAGCCACCACUGCUGCUACCCCUACUGCUGGUGCCUUUGCUGCUACCAGCGUUGCUGUCUGCACUGCUGCUCGCCGCCCUGCACUGCUCUGUGACUGCUGCUGCCUUCCUCUGGAACCGUUCGCCGUCCUGGAGACAGCCCUAGCAACAAUGACGAGUGCCAUGCGCCGCUAGUUGGAAGGAGGCCAACCGUGAGGGCUGUCGGUGUAAGAGGGAGCUGGAGCUUAGAGCAGAAUUAGGGAGGAGGGAGAACAAAUACCGUGGGCAUCUCUACGUAGUAAAUUCAUCGUAGUAAAACGCUCCCAGAUAAGCUUCAUUUUUUUGUCUACGUGUGUGAUUUCUACGGAUACACCUUUCCAGUUUUAAACCAUAACCCAUUUGACUCCAGGCCCUACAAAGCCUCAUGCAAACCCUAAAAUACUACUCCUUCUCAUAGUAAAUUCUUGACUCAAAUGUGUUCAAAUAUGGAUGUAUUUAUUCUUAAAAAACGUCUAGAUACAUGUAAUAUUUCGACAACAAUUUAGAAUCGGAUGGAGCAUUUUCCUUGGAAGUAAAACUAGAGAGUCCUCUUUUCUCUCUCUCAUGUACAUUUCUCAGUGACCGGCGGCAACCGGUUGCCCGGUUGGAUGACUGGAUCUUUCCGAUUGCCUUUGGCCUUCACGAAUCACUUGCUGUCCCAUGACCUGGCUAGCCGGUGACCUUGUCAUUCACACGCUAUCCUUUGGCUCAGAAUUUGCCUUCCACACAGCUAUACCUGCAUGUCAAUGAACAAAUAAUGUUUCUCUACUGGCAAUUAUAUCUAAAAUUUGUUACUCCCCUCUGAUACAUAUUAUACCUACAUGGAUGUAUCUAUGUUUAAAAAAUAUCUACGUACAUCUAAUGUUUUCAUAAGUAUUUUUUUGACAAAUAAUACUUCAACAAAUAAUAUGGAUCACAAGGAGUACCGAAUUUUUCAGGUCCAUCUGAUAAUCUUGUACUCUCCAGUACGGAAUUUUUCAGGCCCAUCUGCGCGAGUAUAACUUCUAAUUGUUACUCAUACACGUUGGGGAGUGUCUUGAGCUUUCUGCCGUCAUCGGACGAGAGGUCGGCGUGCAUCUCGUCUCGACGACCUGCCGCAGGCGCACGGUCAGCAUGGCGCAACCCUUCUCGAACUCGCGCCGCAGCGCCACCGCUCUCUGCAACCUCGCCCGUGCUGACGCCCUACGCGCUACCAGCACUGCGGCGUCGCUCACGUGUCCGCCGCGCACCACGCGGCCCCCCCGAACCCCACCAUUCCCAUCCGGCGAGGCUGCACCGGAGCACGGCCGCCGUGUCGCCAUUGCCGCCAGGGGAGUGCAUCGCCUACCGCGCCGCCGCCGCCGUUCUCUUUUUUUUUUUUUUUUUUUGAGGGAACCGCCGCAGCCGUUCUCUGGUGCGAGGACGGGAGAAAACGGGCAGGCCGGGUUUCCUCCGUCCCUUUUUCUUCCGCACCGGAUCGAUCAGGACCAUCGGCUUCAAUCGGACGGCUCGGAGCAGUGCGGGGCAGUAGCUAGGCUUUCGGCAUGAUAACGGGCUGAAUCUGCCCAUGGGCUCUUGCCCAGGUUUACUCAAUCCAGGUAAACUUCUGUUUUGGGCUGAAAUGAAAGUUAGCCUUUUCUUAUUAUUUCAAUGCAUUUUGCUUUAUGUACUGUUGUUUAGAUUUUGUAUUGCCCUGCUGUUUAAUAUUAACGGCCCCAGCAUUGUUGAUCUUGAAAAUUUUAUUUGAUACACUAACAAAAUGGAUCCAACGGGAAAUUUAUGUAGAGAAUUGUGACGUGAUAUUUAAUGCUAAUGCCUUAUUUAAUGUUUUUAACAUCUUUGGAUGGCAUUUAAAAUUUAUGAUAAUUUUGGAAUUUCUUAAUAUGGUAAUUACUGACGAGUUUAUGUUGAUCAAUCAAUUAUGGCAUUUCUUAAUAUGCUCAUCACUAAUGGGUUGGUGCCACCUUAAGAAAAAUGUUAGUAGUCGGUUGUUUCGAUUGUCCUCACCGGUUUGCAUGUUCAUUCAUGUAGAAGUUACCAAAUGGAUGUGCAAUAAUAAGAAGUCACCAUAGAGCAAGAAUAGAUAAAAACAGAGGUUGGAUAUGCGCUAGACGAACUAGCAUGUGUAAGAAAAGUUGUCUUUAUCAGCUAGAAGCCAUCAAAGAGUAGAAGAAGAAAGGGAAAUUGUGGUAUGGGGUACUGUCCUUGUCGGUUUAGAAGGAGAGGGAAAAAUGAUACUAGAGUUGACAAGAAUGUGGUAAUUUUCCCUUAAUAGUUUUAGCCAUGACGUAGAAGAUAAAAAAAGACAUAUCAAGUGUAAGGAAAGCUGUUCUUAUCGGUUAGAGGUCAUCAAAGCGUAGAAGAGAAGGGAAAACAUGGCAUGGGGUAUUGUCCUUUUUAUCAGCAAACUCCCGAACCAAACACAGCCUAAUCACUUGCAACACACACAAGGUAAGAGAUAGAGAAGAGGGAAGGAAUUAUGAGUAGAGGAAAACAUGGCAGUUUGCAAUUGAUAAUUUAGCUGUACACAUACACUCGGACAUGAUCAAACCGUUGAUAGUUAUGUAGAUUUUUUGAGGAAUGCAUAUCAAAUUACCAAUAAUUAUGAUUUUUUUUUUAAUAUAACUAGAGUAAAUUCCAGUUUUUACCCCUAAGUUACAUUUUUUGACAGUUUUUACCCCAUUUAGCAAGAUUUUCGUUUUUGUGCCCCAUUUAACAAAAAAUUGUUCCAAAAAUUGCCCCAUUUAAAAUUUUGCCCCAAUUUCCCUCCGCUCUGACACCAUUUAGCAACCCCUGGCUCUGUGCCGUUGCGCCAUGACGCUAUAACUAUAAGGCCGCGAACCCAGCAAGAAGCCGGAGAAGCGAGCUCUUCUCCUGCUCCGUGCAGGAGCUGGUCGGAGAGGGCAAGGAGAUCAGUACGUAGAACAAGAGAAGCUCUUCUCGUGCUUCAUGCAGGAGCUGGUCGGAGAAAGCGAGGAGAUCAGUAGAACAAGAGCCAAGCAGAUGAAAGGCACAGGAAAUCUGCUCCUGUAUGAACAAUGGUGUGGCUGCAUGAGAGCUGAUGGGAGUUAAGAAUAGUGUUUUGCCGUAAUGAGCCCGUAGGCCAAUCUCUUGUAUAUAUAUAGCAACACAUACGUACAUCAUACAUAUGGCAAGUGCAGAUAUGGCAUGUACACAUAUGGCAAGUGCAAUUAGCUACACAAUCACGUACUAAUCAAUCUACUGAUUCCUUUAACAUGCCCCCUCAAUCUGGACUGUUGUGUACAAGAUUCAGAUUGUGUUUGAAUCGGUCCAGCAUUUGUCUCGUCGCCGGCUUGGUGAACACAUCGGCGAGUUGAUCGCCUGAGGUGCGAGCAUGAAAUACUGGAUUUGCAGUCAAAUAGGUGGUGCCAAGAUUAUCACACCAGAGAAUCGGUGGCUUCUCUUGUUUAACUCCUAGUUCUUGCAACACUGACUGCAUCCAGAUUGCUUCAGCUGUACCAUUUGCUAGGGCCUUGUACUCUGCUUCGGUACUCGACCGAGACAUGGUGGGUUGCUUCUUGGAACUCCAUGAAAUCAGAUUGGAUCCUAAGAAGACCGCAAAACCACCCGUUGAGCGUCGAUCAUCAAUGCAUCCUGCCCAAUCAGCAUCCGUAAAUAUGCUGAUGGAAGUUGACGGUGAUUCGGUGAUGCUAAGGCCAGUAUUCAUGGUCCCUUUCACAUAUUGCAAAAUGCCUUAACUGCUUCCCAAUGUUCAUUUGUGGGCUGAGUAAGAUAUUGGCAUACUUUGUUGACAACAAACGCGAUAUCGGGCCGAGUGAGCGUGAGAUACUGCAAUCCACCAACCAUACUCUGAUACCGAAAUGCAUCAUCACCCGAAAGAGGAGUGCCACUAUCCUUUGCCAGCUUGUUGGGUACACAUAGAGGAGUGGAGGCAAGCUUGCAAUUCUCCAUAUUGGCGCGAUGCAGCAAAUCAAAAGCAUACUUGCAUUGUGUCAAUGAGAUGCCCCUAGAAUUGUAAGACACCUCUAGGCCAAGAAAGUACUCAAGCUUUCCAAGAUCCUUGAUCGGGAAAGUCUCCGAUAGGGACUGCACGAGGCGAUCGACGGCCUGUGGAGUGGAGCCGGCAAUGAUGAUGUCAUCCACAUAAACCAACAUGUACAACUGAACUCCAUCGUGUGAGAAAAUGAACAGGUAUGUGUCGGCCUUGGAGGGAACAAAACCGAGCUGCUGGAGACGAUCACUCAAGCGAGCGUACCAUGCUCGAGGGGAUUGCUUCAGUCCAUAGAGAGCUCGCUGCAACUUGCAGACAAAGGAAGGACGAGCUGGGUCUUCAAAGCCCGAAGGUUGGUGCAUGUAAACGUUCUCAGCAAGAAAACCAUGAAGAAAGGCAUUGCUCACGUCGACCUGGCGAAGGCUCCAAUUGCGAGAGACUGCUAGGGAGAGAACAAGACGCACCGUAGCGGGCUUCACCACAGGACUGAAAGUAUCACCAUAAUCAAUGCCGUGCCGCUGUGUGAAUCCUCGAGCAACAAGGCGAGCUUUGUGCUUGUCAAUGGAGCCAUCGGGACGGUGCUUGGUUUUAAAAAUCCACUUGCAACUGACUAUGUUUGUUCCUGGUGGUGGAGGCACCAACGUCCAGGUGCUGUUCUUGCAAAGAGCGUCAAAUUCAUCUUCCAUCGCUGCACGCCAUGCCGGUUCACCGAGAGCAUCACGAUGAGAAGUAGGAGCCGCAAGAAAAGCACGACGACGCGGAUCAUACCGGACAGUGCCAUCCUUUAACUCCCGUGGCUUGUGAAUAUUAUUUCGGCUGCGCGUGAUCAUGGAGUGACCAUCAGCGGGAGGCGGCGGAGGCGCCGCAGCAGCAGGUGGCGGAGCCGUCGCAGCAGAGUCAGGAACUGGGAAUUCCUCCCGUCCAGCAUUAGGAGAGAGGCCCAGCUCGUCUUGGGCUGGCUCAGCAGAGCUGGAGUGGGCCGGGGAGGCAGGCCCAGGCGUUGGGGAAGAGGCGCCUGCCUCCUGAUCGACCUGAACAGCGCCAGGCAGCUUGGGAGCCACAUGCACGUCGCCAUCUCCAGAGACGUGCACAAGAGGCACUUCGGCUGGGACAACCGGAUUAGGUAGCAGGCAGGUUAAGCCAUAUUUGCGCACAUCAUUGAUCAUAGCCGGUUCAGACGGGAAAAGUGACGAGAUCACGGAGUUGGGAGACAUCAACAGAAACACCAGGAGUGGCAAAAGGAAAAAUAUUCUCAUAAAAAACAACAUCACGAGAAAUAUAAAUGCGACCAUUGGAACGAUCUAGAGACUUGUACCCCUUAUGCAUCGUGCUAUAACCAAGUAAGGUGCACAUUUUGGAUCGAAAUUUGAGCUUGUGAGCAUUAUAACACACACCCAAAGGUGUGAAGGAACUCAUAGUUCGGUGUGACACCAAGGAGUCGAUGGAUGGGGGUAUCUUGGUGAAGCACCGGAGUGGGCAUGCGGUUGAUGAGGUAGCAUGCGGUGAGGAAAGCUUCAUCCCAGAACCGCAAGGGAAGAGAUGACUGAGCGAGAAUCGUUAGCCCCGUUUCAACAAGAUGACGGUGUUUCCUCUCAGCGAUACCAUUCUGCUGAGAUGUAUGAGGACACGACACUCGAUGGGAGAUGCCAACACGUUGAAAAUACUUGUGUAGGCGAUGAUACUCACCGCCCCAAUCAGAUUGCACAGAUUUUAUUUUGGCAUUCAAAAGACGAUCAACAUGAUUCUGAAAAGAAUAGAAAACAUGUGCGACAUCUGACUUAUAUUUGAGAAGGUAAAUCCAGCAAAAACGACCAUCAUCAUCAACAAAACUCACAUAAUAUUUGUAACCUCCGGAUGAGGGGAGAGCCGGCCCCCAAACAUCAGUAUGAAUAAGCUCAAGAGUCAUAGUAGAAACGCGAGUAGAAGCAUGAUAAGGUACUUUUACCACGUUGGCACGCAUCACAAAUAGAUGUAUUUGACUCAGAAGGUGAAAAAGAAAAAUGUUUGUGCCUAGCAAGAAACCGCACUACAUUAUUUGUCGGAUGACCAAGACGCUGAUGCCAUUGCUAGGAGGUGACCUUGAUGCUACUGGAGGCGUGACGAGAGGAGCGAAGGGCAUUGGGUAGAGACCACCGCGACUUCUACCUUGAAGAAUUAUUUUCCUCGUGACCAUGUCCUUAACAAAGAAAAACUUUGGAUGAAACUCAAUAAAAAUAUUGUUAUCGGUUACCAGUUUAUAAACUGAAAGCAAAUGCUUGCUAAUCUUAGGAACAUGGAGAAUAUUGUUUAGCUUUAAAGACGAACUGGCUAGAUGCAAAUGACCAAUGUGUGAAAUAGACAAACCUGCACCAUUAGCCACUUGUACUUGGUCCUUGCCGCCGUAGCGUUCUUGAACCGAGAGACACUCCAGAUCACUUGUCAGGUGAUCGGUCGCACCGGUAUCCAUGUACCAUUGGUUGUCGUGGUAGGCAUGGCUCGUGGAGGCGGAGUUGCCCUGGUAGCCUGCGCGCAGGUCAUCUGCCUGGUAGCCCUGGUUGAAGCGAUUGCGGCAGGCCAGGGCGUCAUGGCCCCAGUUGCGGCAGAUCUGGCACUGAGGACGGUACCGUCCGCCACCCCUGCCUCCAUUGCGGUUGCCACCGUCACGGUUGCCGCCGUCGCGACGGUUGUUGUUGCGGCCACCAUUUUGGCCGUGCUGGCCGCCACCGCCCCCGAGUGUCCAUUGCCAUAACGGCCAAAGUGGCCGUCGUUGGAUAGUUGGGGACGGUGAUCACCACAAGCAGCAGCAUUGCCUGAUGAAGACCACUCGCCGGAUUGAGCUUGAUGUUCCUGCAUUGCCUCACAUCGCAGGAGAAAAGAGUAAAAUUGGGCAAGGGUGACCGGAGUGGUGAUGAAGGUGAGCGACGCGGCCAGCGAUUCGAACUGCGGACUGAGGCCGGCGAGAAUGUAGUCGAUGACCUCAUCGUCGGAGAGAGGAUUGCCGAUGGCUGCCAUCAUAUCGGCGAGGGCUUUCAUCUUGCGGAAGUAUUCCGCGGCUGUCAUGUCCCUCUUCUUCAGCGUUUGGAGCUGGAGUCGCACAUGCCGAACGCUCGCACGGUUCUGAGCGCUGAACAUGUCGUGGACCGCGGACCAGACCUCCGCAGAGGUGGUGCAGCCGAUCAUCGUGGCUGCAACGUCUUUUCCCAUGUUGGCGAGCAGCACGGCAAGGACACGCUGGUCCUGUACCCACCAGGCAUGAUAUGCCGGGUUGGCCAUUGUUUUGGCUUCCUUGCCCUCGCCUGGGUGAUCUCCUUCGGUGGCGCCGGCACGGAUCCGUCGAGGUAGCCAUGCAGGUUUGCACCAGAGAGAUUCGGAAGCAUGAGGGUCUUCCACAGCAUGAAGUUGGUGUGGUCGAGCCGGACGGGGAUGCUGGAGAGAGCGGCUGGUGCUGCAAGUGUUGCGGAUGGGCUCGAGACGAGGGCGGUGCCGGCGAUCUGCAGCGCGGAAGUCAUAGCGGCUGGGGUUGAGACUCUGAUACCAAGUUAAGAAUAGUGUUUUGCCGUAAGGAGCCCUUAGGCCAAUCUCUUGUAUACAUAUAUCAACACAUACGUACAUCAUACAUAUGGCAAGUACAGAUAUGACAUGUACACAUAUGGCAAGUACAAUUAGCUACAGUCAAGUACUAAUCAAUCUACCGAUUCCUUUAACAAUGGGCUGGUGAAGAAAGAGCACCAGAGGGAAUGGAACAACUAGCUAGCUCAGAUUCCACACACACAAAAAAACUAGCCAGCUCAUGCAUCCGUUUUGUUUGAUCCGUUCAUCAGGUCGCGCCCGAGAAAUUAGCAAAAAAAAUGGAUCAAGGAUAGGCUGCUAGUAUUGCCAUCCACUAAUUUUGUAUCUUCACACCAUGACAUUUUCGCCUGGGCAGGAGCAGUCCGCUUCCUACCUGGCAAGCCACAGCUGCCUGCAAGCGGGGUCAUCCUAUCAGAAUUGAGGAGAUUUGAGGCAUAAUUGGACAUGGGGUAAUUUCUGGAACAUGUUUUGUUAAAUGGGGUAUAAAAGUGGAAAUCUUGCUGAAUUGGGUAAAAACUGUCAAAAAAGUAGAAUUAGGAGGUACAAAAUGGAAUUUACUCUCUAAUAACUAGCUAAGAAAAGACUGAUAAUUUAAUGACAAAGAAAUGAAACUCUUAAGGCUAAGAAAAGACUCGUGAGCAAAACUAAUGACUGAUGACUAAAGAAGUCAGCAUAGAGCAAGAAUAGAUAAAAACAGAGGUAGGAUAUGCUAGCUACUCCGUAGUGUCGCACCAGUGGCACCUGGGGUGCCACCGCUGCACGACGCGUGGGUCGCAUCGCUGGGUUUCCGGAAGGAUCUCACCCUGGACGGCAACGUGCAGGCUGCCCGGCAAGCUACCAGCCCGGCAGGGCUAGCGGGGCUUUGAAGAAUAAUCCCGCCUGGGCACCUCCCGGGAAGACACUUGCCGGGAGGGGGCAUUUCCGGGCGCAGGUUUCCGCCGCGAGGACGGGGCCGAGCGAACAGAGCAGCAGAGCCACGUGGGCGUGCGGCAGGCGCCCGGUGUGCAGGGUCGCCAGGACAAGGAGUGAGGCGCACGGCGCAUUUAGUGAGCAAUAGGAGGGGGGGUUAUCCGUCUAGUCAGGCGAACAGUGGCUGUCCAGGCUAGCUUUUAGGCCUUAGACCCCUAGCCGCGGGGUUGGCGCUCGUGCAUGCGUGCCAGCGCACCGAGGAGGAGCUGCCCUUCUUGCUCGCCACUUGUAAUCCAUGCAUCGUGGCAUCUGUGGUAUCCCCUUGGUUAUAAAAGGAGGACCCCCGCCAACGGUCAAAGGGUUCGGUUUUAUCGUGCUGCCGAGUCACAGUUCACUGCCAAUAGCCCAGAAUAGUAAGGAGCACUUAGUUAGAAAGGGAGCACCCGGGGACCCUUCCCCGGCAACUUGUAAACACUCGAUCUUACGGUAAUACGAGCUCAGACAAGCAGGACGUAGGGUUUUACACCGCAAGGUGGCCCGAAUCUGGGUAAAAAGAGUGUGCAUGCGUUCUUAGUGUGUUCUUACGCUUUGCAUUGUCCUCACCGGCGAUCGCCGGAGUGAUCCCCGUAGCCCACUGCCGAACCUAAAAGGAGGUGCCCGCGCAUCCCCGGUGUCGGAGCCCCGCGCGACGACACGUAGAUGAAAUAGCAAAUGUAAGAAAAGUUGUCUUUUAUCAGCUAGAAGCCAUAGAAGAGCAGAAGAAGAAAGGGAAAUUGUGGUAUGGGGUACUGUCCUUGUCGGUUUAGAAGGAGAGGAAAAAAUAAUAAGAAAAAAAUGGAAAGAGCUAGAGUAGACAAAAUGUGGUAAUUUCCCUUAAUAGUUUUAGCCAUGUACGCAGAAGAUAAAAAAAGGACUUAUCAAGUGUAAGGAAAGCUGUCCUUAUCGGUUAGAAGUCAUCAAAGCGUAGAAGAGAAGGGAAAACCUGGCAUGGGGUACUGUCCUUUUUUAUCAGCAAACUAACAGAAUGAACACACACAAGGUAAGAGAUAGAGAAGAGGGAAGGAAUUAGAGUAGAGAAAAACAUGGCAGUUCGCAAUUGAUAAAUUAGCUGUACGCAUACACUCGGACAUGAUCAAGAACCGUUGAUAGCACGUUAUGUAGAUUUUUUGAGGAAUGCAUAUCAAAUUACCAAUAAUUAUGAAAAAAACAAGAUUAAUAAUAACUAGCUAAUCCCAUAAAAAAAUAACUAGCUAAGAAAAGACUGAUAAUUUAAUGACAAAGACGAGACUCCGAAGGCUAAGAAAAGACUGGUGAGCAAAACUAAUGACUGAUGACUUCUUAAUUUAUCAGCUAGAAGCCAUCAAAGAGUAGAAGAAGAAAGGGAAUUGUGGUAUGGGGUACUGUCCUUGUCGAGCUUGAAGCCAUCAAAGAGUAGAAGAAGAAAGGGAAAUUGUGGUAUGGGUCAACUUCUGUAUCCAUGUAAAUUACAACUGCCUCCUUUAGCUCUGGUUCCAUUCUGCGGUUAGUAUCUAAAAGAAUCAAAAGAUACGGCAUAUACCUAGACAAACUGUGGGUCAAUCAUAGGUUCGUUGGACCCAGAUCAUGUUAUGCUAGUCCAAACACAGCAGAAUCGUGACGAUAAUCAAUUUUCUGCAAAGUAACAACAUCAUAACUGCCAGUGACACAAUGACUUUGAUCGUUUCAUAUGAAGAUAACAGUUGAUGCGCCGAACUCACAAGCUUUUCUUUCAUAGCAUUCCCAAGUUUCGAGUCAGCAACAACCAAUGUUUUACCAUUGAAGUGCGGCAAUGUUUUACCAUUGAAGUGCUUCCGCAGGAACUUGUGCAGACCCUUGCUAGGCUUGCUAUCAAUUAGGAAAGUAUUAAUGAUACAGAUAACAUACUUAAUAUCGUAUCAAUGAAGAUUAGAGAACCCAAUAGACAAUGCUCCUGAAUGUCAGCAAAUCAAGCCCCAUUCCUUCUCAACAGAGUGUACAAGAAUUAAUAUACAAUAUAAAAGAUCGACCAAGCUUUGUUUGUCUUGAGACACAAACAAUAAGGAUAGCAAUGAAGAACAUUCAUUUACCAGAGCAAAGAGUAACAAGAGAAAAUUAUUCCCGUUUAAAAAAAUCAUGUAAUAUGAUACUCCAAUGUAUUGGUGAACAAAACGUGUAUCUAUGUACUAUAUAACUCUUUUUACCUUCAGGGUUGUCUGCUUGUCUUGCUCUAUUGAAAUAUUUAUAAGCAACUCCCCAGUGCAACUGUGUACUUAUAAGAUCAAUUUACGCAAUGUCGACAGAGUUAUCAAAUCAUGACAAACAUGAAAUAAAUACUAACAUAACAGCAUGGAAGAGAAUAAUGAGAAAAUUUUACCGUAGGGAGCUACGAAUUUACUAAUGCAUUUCACACAUGCUGUCUAAGUAUCUAGGUUCUUGUAAUUUCUCUGAGGUGACUCAGAACAGCUAAUAUUUACCAUUCCUAUCGUGCUCCUUAAAAAUCUUUGUUGACUUUGAACAUAGUUUUCGAUCAUGAAUUGCAUCUUAUGAUUGGCAACGAUAACUCACUGACGAAGUGACAAGAAGGAACAGAACAAACUAUUAUCUUAAGGAAUCCCAGCAAACAAUAUCUUCUGUAACAUAAGUACUUCCAAAAGGUAUAUAUGCCCACAAAAUUAUGAUGUAUGUUCUGUUUCAAUCAACUGAGGUUUUUGAAUUCAAUAGCCUAUCUUAAUUCAACAAGCAGGGGGCAUGAUUUGCCGGUCAAAGAAAAGCAGGGAGCAUGAUUCCAUCCAUUUACACUAUAAUGGUGAGUAUAACGGCUAUAGCAAUAUAUGCCAGACUAAAUGUUCCUAAAGUUUCUUCCGAGGACUUGGAGCUAGAUGGUAAUGAUGCACACAAAUUGUUCCUCAAGCAUACUUUUUUUCUUCCAAAAAUGGAAGCUUUUUUAUUGAUCUCAAAGAGUAUCAUACCCCCGGCCUCUGCGCCGAAACGCACACAGCCACACAAGUACGAAAUAAAACUAAAAAAUUAUACCGAAAGAAAAAUAACAUCUCUAGACAUUCUCAAUUCGCAGACUAGACCGCCACCCAUUGUGGUAAAAAAAGUCCCUGACCAAUUGCUCCAAAGUGUUGCACGCCAUCAAAGCCAGUUGGUGAUCCACUGGUUUGAAGAGAGUAGACCAAGUGCGGAGCCAAUGAGUGGACGAAUAGAAGAGCUGCAUUGGAGAAGUUAAAUUCAUUCUAUUAAAAACAAUAUCAUUUCUACAAAGCCAAAUUGCCCAACAUAAAGCAGCCGCCCCAACCAUGAGAAGCGGUCUAAAUCUUAGAUUAACCCCCCGUAACCAGGACCCAAACAUAUGAGUAACAUCACGAGAGGGGAAAAGAUUAGAAGUUAUUUGGACCAUUGACCACACAAGGCGAGAGACACGACACCGAAAAAAGGUGCGUAAUAGUCUCAUCGUCAUGACAGAAAAUACAUUUUUGACUUUCCUUCCAAUUCCGCUUUAACAGGUUGUCUUUAGUUAAUGUGACCCCCCCGCCGCAAGAACCAAAGGAAAAUUUUAUUUUUUAAAGGAACCUUUAGUUUCCAUAACCCGUCAUUGGCAAUCGGGACAUCAGAAUGCCUGGUACAUUGAUUUGACCGAAAACACGCCAUUGAGAUGCAGAUUCCAUCGGAACUCGUCUUGUCCAGGGGAUAGGGUCACAUAAAUAAGGCGAUUAAGGAUCUCAGUCCAGGCAACCAAGUCCAGGCAACCAAUUUGGGUCCAACUAGGCUACGCCUGAAAGACACAUUCGGAGGAAAGGAAGCGAGAACCUAAGCCAAGGUGUCACUCUUAUUUCGCACAAUGAGAAAUAGGGCCGGAUAUUGCUCUCGGAGGGGCCGACCCCAGCCAAGAAUCCUCCCAAAAUCUCACUUGAGAGCCGUCUUUAAUAGUGAACGAGCCAAAACGAAAAAAAAACCCGUUUGGCUUUCACUAGACUUCCCCAAAAAUGGGAAUCACCUGGUUUCCAUUCAACCUGAGACAAAGCCUGUGAACAAAUGUACUUAUUACGUAUCAAGUCCUGCCACAUACCGUCCUCAUACAAAAGUUUGAACAACCAUUUGCUAAGAAGCGCAAUAUUUUUGGCGUCGAGAUCCUAAAUACCUAACCCCCCUUGGUCCUUCAGCCUGCAAAGGAUACUCCAUUUUGCGAGGCUAUAUUUCUUUUGCUGACUAUCAUUAUGCUAGAAAAAUCUAGACCAAAAAUAGUCAAGCCUCUUGAGAACUCCAUGUGGAAUCUCAAAGAAAGACAUCAUAAAUAUGACCAUGCUACUAAGAACCGAGUUGAUGAGCACAAGCCGCCCCCCCAUUGAGAGGUGUUUACCCUUCCAACUCGCAAGUCUCUUCUCGAGGCGUUCUUCCACCCCCUUCCAUUCAGAAUUUCGCAAUUUCCGAUAAUGGAUUGGGAUGACUAGGUAACAAAUGGGCCAAGAACCCAUCACGCAACUGAACAACUCAGAGUAUUGCUGGACAGAGUGCAAAGCCUCGCCGAAGCAAAAGAGUUCGCUCUUGUGAAAAUUGAUUUUUAGGCCCGACAACUGCUCGAAAAUACAAAGCACUAGCUUCAGGUUUCGAGCCUUCUCCAAGUCAUGGUCCAUGAAGAGGAUCGUGUCAUCAGCAUAUUGCAAAAUAGACAAACCACCAUCCACAAGAUAAGGGACCACUCCACCAAUUAAGCCUUCAUUGCGCUGUCACAAUAAAUAUUGCAAGCAUAUCUGCCACAAUGUUAAAGAGAAUAGGGGACAGAGGAUCCCCUUGCCGCAAACCUUUUCGUGUUUGGAAAAAAAUUACCAGUGAAGUCAUUGAUCUUGACAGCCACACUCCCCCCGAGACGAAGCUCUCAAUCCAAGAACACAACUUGGAGGAGAAACUCUUCAUCCGUAGGGUUUGUAGAAGAAAUGACCAGUUCACUUUAUCCUAAGCUUUCUCAAAGUCAAUUUUAAAGAUCACACCACUUAAUUUUGUUCGAUGGAGCUCAUGAAUGGUCUCAUGUAAAACCACUAUCCCAUUGAGAAUAUUACGACCUUGCAUAAAAGCUGUUUGAGUCGGGCGAACGAUUUUAUCCGCCACACUAUUCAAACGGUUAUUAGCAACUUUCGUGAAUAUUUUGAAUAUAACAUUCAAGAGGCAAAAAUGUCGAUACUGUUGGAUGCGAUUAGCAUCUUUAACUUUGGGCAAAAGGGUGAUUUCGCCAAAGUUGAAGCUAAACAUGGGAAGAGUACCAUUAUGAAAAUCAUGGAGCAUAGCCAUUAAAUCAUCCUUGAUAACCUCCCAAAAAACCUGAUAGAAUUCCGCCGGAAAGCCGUCCGGUCCCGGGGCCUUAUUGUGUUCCAUCGGGAAGAUGGCUUCCCUGACCUCCUUCUCCGUAAAAGGGGCCGUGAGGAACUCAUUUUCAGCCUCAGAGACCCGAGGAAUGUCAUCCAAUCUCGAGUCAAUCAUUGACACAGAGCUUGGUUCUGACGGGUCAAACAAUUGCCGAUAAUAUUCAGUGAUAUGGUUUCUGAGAGGACCAACACCUUGGAUAAUAUCCCCUUCGUGCUGAAGGCUGAAAAUACAUUUUUUCCUAUGCCGACCAUUGGCCACCAAAUGGAAAAAACUUAGUAUUAUCAUCACCUUUAAGUAGGUACUCAACUUUGGAUCGUUGGUACCACUUAAUCUCCUCUUUACGCCAAAGGCGGGCCAAAUCAUUCGAUUGAAAUUUAAGCUCAAUCUCUUCAUUGGUAAGGCCUUUGACCUCGGCGAGCUUAUCCAAUUCAUCGAUGAUAGCUGACAAGCGAGCUUUCUCGCGCUUGUUGACACCAGUAAUGUGGGCAGCCCACCCUUGAAGGUCACGGCGAACCGCUCCCAGUCUGCCGUUAAAAUGUUGAGCGGUAUUUUUUCCCUUGCAGGGCCUGCGCCAGACCUUCGUAGCUCGCUCCACAAAGCCCUCACGCAUUAGCCAGCCAAGCUCAAAUUUGAACAGGCGACGAUUUGCAUGGAAGGCGGCACAACCGUAGUCAAGAAGAAGAGGCGCGUGGUGAUGGUCAAGACGUGGAAGGGCCUAAACUGACACGAGGGGAAAUUUUUGUUCCAACUCAUUAGUCAUCAAGACCCUAUCUAACUUCUCGAAAGUAGGAUUCUGAAGAUUAUUUUCCCAUGUAAACUGACGCCAUGAUAGGUCAAUUUCCCUAAAGUCCAGACUGUCAAUAACAGCGUUGAACAAGAAAGGCCAAUGGUUGUCAAAGCGGGAGUUGUUUUUAUCUUUUCGAAAUCGAAGAAUAUUGAAAUCCCCACCAAUAAGCAUAGGGAAAGGAUUACUUCGACACGCAUUAACUAAUUAUUUUAAGAAAGAUGCUUUGAGUUCAUUUUGAGAGGCACCAUACACCGCCAUAAGACUCCAUUUGAAGCCAUCAGAUAGUGUUUUAAGAUGGAGUUUCAUGUAGAAAUCACCACCAAACACAUCCAAAACUUCAAACACCGCAGAAUUCACCCCAAGUAAAAUACCUCCCGAUCGGCCCCGAAGAGGAAUAGAAUGCCACUCAAAGUCUAACCCACCAGCAAAAUGAGUCAAAACAGGACGAGGGAAAUCCUUUUUACCUGACUCUAGAAGGGCCACAAAAUCUAGACCAUGAUCCCUAACAAUCUCAGCGAUAUACCCAUGUUUAGCCAAGUCACCAAGACCUGCUAUUUCAGAAAACGCCUUUCAUGAGGAAACAACUUGGGGUGAUUUUAGAUUGUUGCCCAUUUUAUUAUCAUGUCGUUUUUUAGAACGUGAACUCUUAGACUUAGAUUUACGAGAAGAGGCCUUAAGGUCGCUUAAAAAAACACCCAAGUCCUCCUCGUCAAGACCCACAUCCGACACCUCUUGUACAACAUGCUUGAGAAGGUGUGCAUCAUAAACCUUAUCCUCAUCCAUCUCCAAGUCCUCAUCACCACCACUCGGGAGAGAGGAAUUAGAAGAACCAGGAGACAACUUUAAACUAUCAAUUUCCAUACAUUUUAAAGCUUUAACCGAAAUAUCUACCUCAAGCCUAUUAGUACCCAAAGAGACACCAAUAUUUCUAGCAGUAGAGGAAAUAAAAGACAACCUCAUUGGACGGGAUGGCGGAACAAACCCCAAAAAUUGUCUUAUUUGGUAAGGUUAUAAAUUACCAAAUAAGACAGGAAUAGAGUAAAUAUUCGCCCGCGAAAUCCUUAUUGAAUUAGAAUACUUUACCGCAAUUCAAUAAUUCAAUAAAUUCAAUAAAAGUAAAAAGAAAGAUAUUUUUUUAAGAAGGAUUACGUUAAAAAUAGAAUAUAGAUAAAUAGACAG
rnacentral:lncRNA from 1 species